rnacentral:lncRNA from 1 species
AGAGAGAAACAAAAUGUAGAUUGGAGACCUCCUAGUAGCCUACAUCAUAACUAAUUUCCAUAAGUUAUGAUGUAGCAUAACAGUUACCAUCAAUUAAAGAAAUAAAAUAAUGAUGCAGCAGAUAUCUGCAAAUUACUGUGGUUCUUAAGUGCCAAAAUUUUAUUUAUUUGGUCGCACAACAAGUCUAUUUUAUAUUAUAAAGGAGAUUAAAUUAAGGGUAACUGUUUAUUUCAGGAAGUCAAAUCUUGUGUUUCGCCUCAAACCAGAUGGCAAGGUAAAUUAUUCCUUCAAUUGGCAUAGGCUGUCUGAAAGUAAAGUUUUCCAAGCACAUGUUCACCAUGGCAGCAUGUCAUUUAGCCAACAUUUGGAAACCUCGGUCUGCUGGGAAUGAGGAACCAUAAAGCAAAACCAAAUAGUUGGGAAAAGUCUGGACGAUUAUGGUUGGAAACCAUGGUCUGUAAUCCUCCUUAAGAACCAACAUCUCUCCACCCCCUUAAUUUCUGUGCAACAAAUGAAGAUGCAAGAAGCGGCACCUAAAAUUACAAAGUUGACAUGCUUCCAAAGUGAACCAAACAAACAGCCAGCCUAUGCAAAUGUUAUCUAAUCCUGGUGAUAAAGGCAAUAUGGCAACAAUGCAAAACAAGAGCUUAAUAGGUAAAGGUGGAGGGCUGUAAUCUGAGUUUAACGCUCUAAAUUUAAUAUGUAAAAUCGAGACAAAGAAUCACAAGGACAAUAGGAGGAUUCAAUAUAUUUUUUUCACACUUAAUUUGGGCCAGUAAAAGCAUCAUGACUAAGUAAUGACAGAAGAGGCCAUGAAAAGCAUUAUGACUAAGUAAACGUGAUAUGACUAAUUAAUUUAUUAGUACAGCCAACCACCUUAUUUAUUGCCAAAGAUAUCUUAAUGAACCGACCAAAAGAGAUGCAAGCUAGAUCAAGACAGCAAGAGACAGUUGCAACUGGCUGCAUCAGUUUCUUCUCUCUGUGAAAUCACUACAGAAGAAUGAGUGGCAUUCAUUUGAAGGUGGAUUCACAAAUUUCCUUUGGGAGUUCACAAAUUAGUAGUUGGAUGAGAUCCCGGAGAGGGCAGAAUAUCACUUUCUUGCAUCCCGAAGAAAGCCUGAUAAGUUCGACACAAGGCUCACAUAUGAUCCAAACUAAUUCAAAGAACUUAAAUUCUUGUCAGCCUGGAGGAUUUAUAUGUCCAAAAGGAUGAAAACAAAUGAAGAUACAGAGGCAAGGCAAGGAAAGGAAAGAAACAGAUGCAAAAACAAGAGAAAAUGAGAUUAGAAAAAUAUCACCACGCACAUAAUCAAAUUAGAGAGGGUUUUUCCGACAAUGCAUAUGCUGUGAAUGUGGAGGUCCAAGUAUCACCUCUUCUUGCAUCAAUUUUUUGUUUAAUUUAUUCAAGUUUAAAAAUAAAAAUAAAAACCCGGUUGCAUCAAAGUUACGGAAUUUUUUCCCAACAACCUCCCGCACUAUAUGUCACCUAUAAUGAAAAGAUUACCGGGGGCAAAAGAAAAGGUAAAAAAAAAAGAGCAAAGGCACUAUCCCUAAUUUUCACUAAUCUCAAGAAGUUAUUAUCAGAUCUCAAAAGGAUUCACAUGAAAAGGAAAAAUUUUACCAAUGCCUAAUAAGUAAAACCCUAGCAAUCAAUUUGGGCGGACAGAAUUAACAAGGCGAAGCUUUCAGAUGCCGGCGGAUUAGAUAAAACCAUGCUAUGCAUCCAAAGCUGAUCCAAGCUCGAAGAAUAAGAGUCCAAAAAAAAUAAAUAAUAAAUACCUUGCUCCGAAGAAGAUCGAAAUCCGACGCUCAAGCCAAUAGCCUCUGCCUUCCAAUCGAAACCCUAGCGAAGAAAUUUGGAAGCCGGAAUCGAACAGGGGGCGGUGGAACGAAACCCUAGAAACCAAAGGGAUCGGGAUUGGGGAAUUGGGAUCGAGGGGAGAGCCGGAGGAGAGCGGAAAAGGGGCCUUGGCCGCCGCACCCUUUCCUCUCGCGCGAUGUUUUAUCUAAUAAUCUAACGGCCAGUGUGGUAUGGGGGCACUCGCGCUGCACGUGCUUCAGGAGAGAACUCGGGGAGGGAGCAGCGGAACUACUCGAAGUCGGAGAUGAGAGAGAAAAAGAAAGCCGAUGCGGUGGCAUGUCGGAGGAGACUGAAUUAAGGGUUUAGGGUUUGGAACAGUCAAACGGGAUUUGUAUCUGACCGUUGGGAACUUUAUAGUGAGAUGAAUCAUGAUGACCAUGGAUUUAGAUAGAUAAGGGGGAUAAUGUUAGAUAAGAUAGUUCAUAAAUGGACAUCAAUUCGCUCAAAUAAAUAAAAAAAUAAAAUGAUUCCUAAAUAUCAUUGAAUAUUUUAUUUAGAUAAAUAAACACAUUGUUGGCAGCCUUGGUAAGUUGGCCAGGCAAACCCGAACCCAAUCUAAUGUAGACUUGAUUUUGAGAUUCUUUAACCCUGCCUAACCUAAUAUGAGCUAAUUUUGGGUUCGGUCAGGUUAAAUGGAUUUGGUAGGAUUUGUCCGGUUGUGCCAUUUAAUUUAAUUAAAAUAAAUUUAAUUAAAAUUUUAAAAUAAGACAAAGGUUUCUGAUGUUUUUACUGGAUUGAUUGUUGUUGAAUCAAAGCCUUAAUCAUUGAUAAAUUUUAAUGACACUUACUCGUAUUCCAAUAAAAUUAAAGAUAUAAUUAUAAAAUUAUAUAGAUAUAAAUUAUUUAUUUAUUUGUUUAUUUAUCUAUCGGGUCAGAUUGAAUCAGGUCAGGUCAAGUUGGUUUAGGUUGUGGGCCCUAUGUUAAUACUACUCCUAAAAAUACAAUCCGGGUUUAUAAACCUUCCACCCAACCCAAUUAUUGGGUUGAGCAGGUCUGUUUGGGUUGAGCCCAACCCCUCAACCCAAGUUGCACCCACCUCGAUGAAUAACACCCUCAUUUUUCUCAAGAAAGAAAAAAAAAAGAAUAAAGUACAACAGUUUAGUCUAAUGUCCUAUUCUUUGUGAUGGGUUUUAUAGAGAAAAAUAUAUUGAGCAUGAUUAACAGCCAAGAAAUGUGACUUGCACGGCAUUUUGCUAAAAUGUGUUAGACUAUCAAUCUACUUGUCAAAAUUGCUACUAGGACUUAAGGUUGUUUCCAAAAACUGAAUGAUUCCAACUUCCACUCAUAGGGUCCUUGGAGGAUGACUACGUCGAGGGCCUUGUCUUACAUCCAUGGUUAGGCUUUGCUCAUUCCGGACCAAGGCCUUGCUCCCUUCUCUCACUGGCUUAUAAACCUUUAUGCACCCAACCCAAUUGCAUCACUAUUGCAUUCCGUCAAAAUAGAAGAGACCGCAUCAAUGCGCACUUCAAGGGGAGAUCCUUGCCGAUUGGUCAUUGGGACAGGGGAUGCUGAUAAUAAUUCCUUGAAGCUUCGAUUAUGUGAUGAUAGGUGCAUGCCAUGGUAGCAACCAUUCUUAUUUGGCUAAAAAAAAGAAGAGAUAUUUUUUUUGGGACUCGUUUGGUUCGUGAGGAAAUUUUUUUCUGAGAGUGACUUAUGUUUGGUUGAGCUUCUAUUUUUCUAAAAAAAAUGUAUCAAAUAUAUUAUAUAUUUAAUAAAGAAAAAGAUCUUACUCAUGAAUUUUAAUGGCUUAAGAGUAUUUUUGAGAGAAAAAAAAAAAUCCUAAUUUUCAACCGGUGGAAAAAUGAUUUUUUCCUGCUUUUUAUUAAUUUUUCAUUGCUAUGAAAUAUGAGAAUCUUAUUUCCACAAGCCCAUUCAGGCCAAAAUAACGACCAGAUCGGUCCAGCGGCACCAGCUUAAAGUUAGUAAAAGAAACGAUCAAUUCAAAGUUAAUACACUCAAGUUAUUUAGUCCUGAUGGCAAAGCAAGAAAGUUAAAGCUGAUAUUGGUGAUGGAUGUUGAUCAAGCAUGAUUCAAUACAAAGACUAAACUUUUCUUUGCUUUUUAGUUCAGAAAACAAAGACAUAAUAAAUAAAGUCACCCAUGCAAAAUUCUAUUGGCUGUACUUUAUCCAUACGGUCUGAAGGGCAUCUAUGAUAAUAUUCUGCUCUGCUGGCAACAGAGAUGUUCUUGAAUUGAUGAUCCGAUACCAAAAAUUAGAAUAUUCUUGCUCAACAUGACUCAAAUGAUUAGCAGCAAGAUUAGAAAAUAGGAAUUGUAAUAUUAUCCCUGGUCUUCAACUUCUGAAAAGUCAUCAGACCAAGAAAAAGGUGAUUGUGUAAUCAUACUUCCAUAACUAUUAGAACCAGACAAUCCAAUCACAUCAUAAACUUUUUUAAGUUUCAGAAUCAAAAUUAACACAUGGAUAUGUCAGAUGCUUAGCAAAUUAUGAGAAAAUCUGACAGCCUUUUUUGCCAAUUCCAGUGUUUAUUGCCAAUUUCAGAGGAGUACUCACACUAAUGAAAGCUCUCCAGCAGGUACCGACCUUUUAACUAAUUGAGCCCAUGCCUCGUUCGUCUCCGUGAUAACCUUCAGAGCAUAAUCCUAUUCAUCACAAGGAGUAAAACAUAGAAAUGAGUGGAUAAUGUAUCGCUUCCAAUUUUCUUAAAAAAAUUAGCAUCCAGAUUUAAAAGGAAUACAUUAAAUUCAAAAUGCAUAGUUCAUAUCAGACGCUGGCAAGCACGGGCACCAAGUCCAAGCACCAAGAAGCAAGCAUGUAGUGUUGAUGAGACAACAUAAAUUCCAACUUGCUCGGGCAUGUAAUAAAUAAUAAAGAUAAUCAUCUCCUUGUUCCUAUUAGAUGCAUCAAAAGAGACACGUAGUUAUUAUAAGAUGGUAUUUGUAUCCUAUUCAGACAGGAUACAAAUAGUCAAAUAGCAUCUGUACCAACAAACUUAGAAAAGCAGGUCAAGUAGAAAACAUAAAAAAUACCAAACUAACAGCAUCAUCCAAGCAGACCUAAAUCUUGGGAAUACCAUUAAAUACUUCCCAAUGGUCCAUCUCUAAUUGCAAGCUUUUCCCUGAAGGCUUCUGCACAUCUGAAGAUAAUUUGCCCCUCCCCAUUCCUGAAAAUCACUAAGACCAUAUUGUCUCAUGCUGAUUUGCCCCAGGCCAUUUCUGAUGAUUCCUGAAGAAUCCAGUUUGGAUUUCAUUCUCCUGUGUAUUCAGACAGCACACCAUGAUGAAUGCCUAAAUAGUCAUGGGGUGGUCUUACUCCACUGCUAAACAAGCUCAUAUCAAGAAUCUGUUAAACCAAGAAUUCACUAGAAAGUGUACUUUUUUAGCCUCAAAUAUUGAAGCCUUCUCGACCUUUUAUAUCAUCUUAAUACCGCCAAUUCUCGAAUACAUAAGCAGUUCCAUGAGACAUGACUCCAAUUUCCAUGUCAUAAAUUUAUCAGGGAAGGUAAAACUGCCAAGCAAAAAACUCUUGGAUAUGUGGAGCAGCGACUUACCAGGUGAAAGCUUGCAUUCACCUUCAACUAACCCACAUGGAACCUUUCAUCAAAGGAUAAACUGCUGGUGCCCAACAACAGGAAACUCUUAACACAGAAAUUGAUAGAAAGCAGCGAUCGUAUCUUAACAUCAGAUCGCAACAUAUCCACCAAGUCAUUGUGAAUAGGGUGAGAAAUCUUCUAGUCCUCCUUAAAGCACAAAUGGCAGUUUUUUUUUCCGUACCAAUUAUCAGCCAACAAAGAUGGUCAGGGAUAAGCAGUGAGGAUCUAAUUGUGAAUCGAUUAGAAAUAUGCAAUCUCCCAUUUGUGAGCUUCACAACAAGUUUAUAACAGGCAUUCGAGGCUCCUUAACAUAAACCAAAGGAAGUGUGCAAUUUUUCGCUUCAUGACAUCUUUUAUAGGUUUUUCAAAUAACCUGGCAAUUCUGAAAGUUCUUGAAGUGAACUUUGUCAUUGAUCAAUCUAAAGCAUUUCAAAAUUUGAAGUUUUGAACCUUAUUGACACUUAUAAAUGAUCAGUCCUCUCAGAAAGACGACAAAGACAUAGUUACACUCAGCCACAUGCAUGCAGGAGAAUUUUGAGGAAAAAAACAGAUUUACUGCACACUCAACCAUCAUAUUCACAUCCUGCUUCUCUUUGUAAAGUAUCUAAUGUAAAUUAAGGAUCAAAUAUCUCUACACAGGUUGGAAAGUCUCCUAAAACCCGAAUCAUAUUUUAUAAAUGCACAUAAAGAAUCCUCUUCAGCAAAAGAUGGUCUAGAAAAUGCUGAACAUAAAUUUUCACGCCGACAACUUGUGCUGUCACUUGCACCUCCAGAACCAUCAAACUGUAUAAAUGAACAGAAAAUGCCAUAAAGGGCACAGCUUAUCAAAUAAACUGUCAUCAAGUUUCCAUGUUACAUUUAAGAGUUACAUGGUGAUGCCCUCUUUCACAAUACACAUAAUUAACAUCAAAGAACCUUGCUCUUCAUAUGAAUACAGAAAAGUUGUGUGUCAAGGCAAGGUCAGAAAUUUGGUAGCUGAGACACAUGGACAAGUGAGGCCCAAUAGAAGGGAUUUCAUGAACCAGUAGGUCAUCUCGGCUUUGACCAAUCACUAGCUGAGUCCUACCCAAUUAAGUCAGAAUCCAUGUAAAGGUUCAUACUAUGCCGAAUAGUCAGCUGUCAGUCCCCUUUUUUUCCUGGAUCUUCAAAGCUAGCUUACACUUUUCUCUCCCAACAAGAUGGACACACACCUGGUUUUCCAUACCAGCCAGCUAAUCACUUGAUCUGGUAGACCAGAAUGACUUCACAAAUCUUGUAGAAAGGAAAGACUUGAGUCACUAUUGUCCAAAACAACCAUCGUUACCAUCACUUAAUAUAGAUGAGAUCCAAGAAAAAGUACCCAAUCUCACAAGCAAAUCUGAAGUUCAUCACAUAAUAAACCAUUUCCUGACAACUAACAACAGAACUCACACUCCUAAUUCAUUGGACAUUGAUCUUUAAAAUGAUUCUUCAAAAUAUUUUCAUGAAACAAAAGUCACUAGAAUAGUUUAAUGCAUAAAUGUAAGACUGGUUGAAUAUCUAGACAAAUAUGCUCAUUGGUGAUUUCGAAGUUUUGUGACAUUGGGCAAUGUGUUUUUUUUUCUUUCUUUUUUUUGAAAUUUUGAUAUGUUCAUGCCUUUGAAAUGAAAUAUGAUCCACUGAGAAUUCCCAGCUAAAUGCUAGAUUGUUACCAUGUCAAGUUCUUCCACACCCUAAACUUGUCAUGCAAGAUUCUCCCUUUUUUUCAAAUUUUUCUCAUAAGUUCAUGAUCAAAUAUCAAAGCUUCAAAGGGUGCAUAACCAUCUCCUCAACAGUAAACCUCACCAUAUGACUGUCCAAUCAAAUUUUCUCACACAUUCAUUGCUUUUGCAAUCAAUAAGAAUUGCAUAAAACUAGAAAGCAUUGGAAACAAUCAAAAAUCAGGCACAAUAGCUGAAUUAUGUAAAUGAGAUUAACUAAGAGGUGGAUCAAUUUGUGAGGCAAGAAGAAGAAAUGAUGCCACUUAUCCAAGUUAAAUUCAGCAUGGAACGCAAAGAAGUGAAGUCAAACAUGCUAUGUUUACCUUGUUGGCUGCUUUGUUUCCAAGUCCAAACUUAUUAGCAGGCUUUCCAUCUGGUAUCUUGUAGUCUCUAAACCAGUCCCUUAUAGCCAUAAGAGUGCCCUGAAGCAACAGCAAACAUCCAAAAGUAAGCAAAAAGUAAUCAAAUCACAAACUGCAAUUCAAAUUUUAGAAUUCUUAGUGCCCUGAAGCAACAGAGAACAUCCAAAAGUUAGCAAAGAGUAAUCAAAUCACAAACUAUGAUUCAAAUUGAAGUAUUCUUUGUUGGAAACAUCCUCACAAGGUUUCCAUAUUUUAAAAGGCAUGCAGUCCUCUUAAUGGUGAUGUUAUACAUGGCUGUCAGGCAUUUCCUAGGUAAAACAAGAAAUCAGAGCAAGAUCAUGUAGUACACAAGAUAUAAUCACAGACAAUUACCAGUUGUCAUCUAGAGCUGAAAGCCAUAUAUCCAGUACAGAUUGUGCACAUGUCACAUGAACUAUUAUUUUCUAUCCACUAAAACAAGAAAAACAAAGCCAGAUAACCUCAUGGAAAAAUUGUGAAAUCCAGAGAGUAAAGGUGCUUGUUGUAUUAACUUUUGUUACAUUUAUGACAAUGUCCUUAUGGCUCCUCGUCAGGAAUUUGUAUAUCCAAUAAAGAAUGAAAGUUUAACUCGAUAUAUACAUAUAUAAUUUCGGAAGAAAGUGCUCCUUUUAGUAAUUAUUUAAAUAUUGUUGUCAGUAAAUGGGUAGGAUAUUGAUCAAAGAUGAUUUCUAGACCCAUUGUGGUCCGGUUUAAACUAGACAUUGGACACGAGGGUCAAGUGUCCAAGUAUCAUGAAGUGUCCAACAUGGCAAGCUCAGAAAAUUAAGAUAAAGGGACAUGGCAGCUAUUACAUAUAUACACAUAUAUGUAUGUAUAUACAUAUACAUAUGUGCAUGUCUAUAUGUAAAUAUAUGCGUGUGUACAGAGUAGAGGCAUAUGCAACAUAGACAUGUAGUGACACACAAACUAAACAUAUACUAGCUCUGUUUCUGAACCACUAAGGGCAAAUUUGAAGUAUCUUCUAUAAUAAAGCCAAAUCCUCUUGCCUCUUUGGUGGAUCGGGUCUACCAUUUGAUCUUUAACCCACUUUCCUAAAGACAUGCAGCUGUAGAACGUUUCAUUCUAAACCCUAAUGGACUGCUAGGGUUUCCACGACAUGCCUCCCAUGGUGGUGGAAGUGAUGGACAUAACUCUCUCUAGAUCUGCUAGGGUUCUCUUCUCGAGAGGAGAGAAAUAUUACUGGAGACAAGAGAACAGGACUGCAGGACGCUUGAGCGCUCAGUGGAGAUACGGAAACAAGACUGCGGGAGACAAUACUGGAGGCAUGGCUUGAGGAAGACAGCUUGGAGACGAAGACAAAAAGUUAUAUCAUGCCCACACUCCACUAUUUUUUUAUUUCUUUCUUUCAUUUUUUAUUUUACCUUCUUUCUCUGCACGACACAAGACUGAUUUGGGCUUUGGGAUAAGGCAAUCUUUUUAAUUUCGUUUGUUGGUAAGCCAUAAGUUAAGGUAGAUGUGAAAAUUGGGAGCCUCAAGCAAACCAUGAAGGGAGUUGUAUCCACCACGUCUGACACAUGCAACACGCAUGUCAUAUCAUGUCCACAUGGGACACAACGAAAAAUCUAAAAAUCGUCUUGUCCAAGUAACACUUCUUUGGUCACUUUGUGUAGGUCUAGACAGGGUUUGUGAGCAAGAUCCGCCACAUUCAAGCUGAUUUGCCAUCAAAACUUUCAGAGGGUAUAACUUACACAUAUUGUAUCUAUAUGCACCAUCUAUUUUCUUAAUUAGGUAACUUUUUGAUAUCUAAAAUGUGGUGACUCACUGGUAGGCCCAUCAAGCUCCGGAUGACCCUAUUUCAAGGCCUUUUAGGCCCAUAGAAUGCAAUUGUCAAGCUAUAUAUUGUUGUUUUUGAAAAUAUUCAACCAAAUUGUAUCUUUCGGCCUAGGAGGAAUUAGGCCAUGAGAUAGAAGACAGUCGAUAUAGAAGUUAAGAUCAACACUUUAGCUCAUGGUACGCCGUACCGGUUCGAACCGGACGGUAUAGGGCAUACUGUACUAUAUCGAUUUGGUAUUAGUACCAAGUACGGGUGGUGUACCGAUACUUAGUAUGCCAAAAAAAUUUUGUAUCGUACCGUACUAACACUGUGCUAGUGUGGCACCCGUACGGAGUCCAGUAUUGAGACGGUGAACCUUGCUUUAGCUUUUUAUGAUUGUCCCUACUAGUAACAUAUUAUUUUUUUAACCUUCUUUAACUAAAUGAGAAUCCAACCUAAAUUUGGGGACAAAGGGUCUAAAACCCUACUUUCAAAUUUUCAUUAUUUUCUUUGAGAGGUCCGCAUUGAGCACAUUGAAUGAAUUGCUUCCUUCUCUCUUUGAUCGGAUCAGACACAUUUGAUACACAAGGUAUAGUCACUUGCUAUCAUUUUUUUUGAUAGAGCACUUACUAUAAUUGAUUUGUAUGUAAUACUUACAAAACUAAAAAAGAUCAUAUAUCCUAUAAUAGAUCGCACAUUUUUGAGAAAUUAAAGCCAAAGAACUUUAAUUAAUAGAAACUAUGAAUUCCAGAGUAAAAAAUAUUUGCUAUGCUUAUUGUUAGUAAAUCAGUAUAUUUCUAAAUCAAAUAGAUCAUGGAUCUUAACAUAUUUUACAAUAUUCAUUUCAUGUUUGCAGUUUAGUAUGUUCGCCUCUUGGCAAUCUUAGAAUUUGGAAAGCAGAACAACGAACAAACCGGUGCAAAGCAACUAGUGUUCUGCAUGUCCAGCAUAAUGCCCACAAGGCAUUCUCUUCUAAGAUAUUAGAUGUAAAGUCAACUUAAAUUCUGUGCAAUGCAUAAGAACUAAAUAGAGUGCACGCCAACUAUGAAGACAGCAAGUAGCUUGAAAUAUGCAAUUCAGAUUAUCCCUGCCAGCAUAGGUGCUAAAACUCCAGUAGUCGCUAAGGCUCGAUUCUGCUGAAUCAUGUGGUAGUUAGAAGUUGAAGAGCUCCUUAAAGUGGUCCAUUAAAUUGUCAUACUUAAGCAGAGUUAUAUGGUGUAAUGUGCUAAUGUGGAUUAGCAUAGAAGAGCAUCCAGAGGACCACUUGAAGAGAAUUGUUAACUAUAAAACCAAUUUAAUUGUUACCUAGUUCAGCAUGUCUCCGAGCACAAUGAUCACAUAAACACAAUUAGUCAUUUAAAAAAUAUUGACAUGCAAGAAUGUUGUUGAAUUCAGCCAAUCUUACUGUCAGGUGACAAGGAUGUCUGCAAGUUUGUCAUCUUUGAAACAACUUUGUUUUAAAGGAAACUCAUUUCAAGAAAUAGCCUUAAAUGCACUACCAAACACCCAUAAUAUGACAUUACAUGACAUUGAACACAUUGUCAUAAGCAGAUAGUAGAUUAGGUACUUAUUUAACACAAUUUUCCAAACUAUAGUAAGAAAUUAUGUUUAUUGCAAAUAACAGCAGAAGAUGGGGUAAUAACUAGAUUAAAAUAAAAUGAAAAAGAAAGGCUCAAGAAAGGGGUCAUGAGCUUUCACUGUAUGAAAGCAUAUUAUCAUAUCUAGACUCACCACAUACAGGAAGCAUCAAAGUAAUCAUGCAGAAAAAGAUACCGAGUUGACAAUACUGAUCACCAAACCAUGUUUAUGUUUGUGAAGCAGAAGGUUCAUGUAGCACUUAUUGAAAAGUUAUGAUACAAGUGAUUGGUAGAAUGAAACCCAAGUUUCCAGAAAGGAAGCCAUGUAGGUUAUAGCAACUUAUAUAUUGACCAGUAUGUCUCAAUCUACUACAACAAAGCGAUUGGUAGCUCUACACUAAAAAAAAGGUCAGGCACCUUUGAGCAGCAUUUUGAUAAACUCAUUUAUGACUUAGAAUAUAAAAGCAUUACAGAAUUCACAGAUAAAGUAAAACUCAUUUUGAAUAUUUGUGGCACUUGCAUAUAAAACCACAGCCUUAACCAGCAAAGAAUUUAAAUGGUUAACCCAACUAUUUCAGUGGAGUUUUUCUAUCCUUCUUCGCCCAGGGUUAUCAGUUCCAUAACCUUCCUUUAGCUAACUAAGGCCUCUUCCUCCUCUUUCAUGACCCUUCUACACUGUUUCUCUCCCUAAGGGAGUUGCAUCACAUUUUUGCUGCAUAUGAGACACGCUAUCCAUUUUUUUUCCUCCACUAGUAGUACUUGUAAACAUGCAGAUUGAAAUGUUUAAUCCUCAUGCACAUCUAAAACAUUUGAAAUAAAAGUGUAAAAUAUAAUCUGGGAAAUUGGAAUGUGGGCAAGCCAGUGGGCUGACUUGUGAUUCAAGGGUGUAUGAUGAACACUUUCCUAUUUAUCAGCAGAGGUUUUAUGACCAUAACUACCAAUAGAAUGAAUUUAUCCAACUUCACAAUUCAAAUUUUGGCAGGCAAAAGAUCUCCAAGGAAGAAAAAGAAAAAGAUCCAAACCCGACCUGCUUGAACUCCCACAUCCUUAAAAGGACAAUGAUGCAUCAACUAUGGAAUCAAACAGCUGAAGAAAACAUAUGGCGGGGAAUAAGCCAUAAAAGAUCUUAUUCAUGAAAUGCAGAAAAUUUAUAUAUCCAGAAGAAUCCAGAAUUAACAAGAAUGAUGGUUGAAAGAGUUAGGCUUACCGGGAAGUGCUUUUCAACAUCAUUGACAUCAUUUACAAGAGAAGCUCUAGGAUCAUCCAAUGAAAUGGCAACUAUUUUCCAGUCAAGCUCCCCUUCAUCAAUCAUGGCCAAAGCUGCUAAGGGCUUUACUUUGAGAACAUCACCAAUCUUAGCCCGUCUUUCACCUAUCUCGACAACAUCAACUAGACAAGGAAGAAUAUCGCAAUAAGAAGUUGCAUGUUUUGCCACUACUUCAUUACACAACACCUUAGUAAUGAUCAAGGUGUGCCAAUUUCAAGCAAAUAACAAGGGAUGCUUAAAAAACCUGGAUCAUUAUCGCCAAGUGCUCCUUCAACUUCUGAGUUGGCAAAAGAUGGGUCUUCCCAUGUUUGUGGAAGCAAUCCAUAAUUCCAGUUAAUGUUGUACCUGAGGUUGAUGCAUUAGAAUGCAACAAUCAAUUACAGAAAAUUACAAACUUAUUCAAAUAUAUUUUGUUACAGGUACAUCUGAUCCUUUCAUAACAUAUCAUGAGGUUUCUAGUUACAAGGUCUCUAAACAACAUAAACAUAUAAUAAGGUACCAAACAACAUACAAUCAUAAUGAUACCAAAAAUUUUGGUUGCAUUUGUUCUAGAGAUGACCAGAAUCAAUGAUGAAAGCAUUUUCAAAUUUUCUAACUUCCACGGAUACUUUAUUAGGUAAUCCUUUCUUUUUUGACCCUGCUUGGCCCCAAACAAAUUUUAUCCCCCAUAUUUGUCAAAGCUCCUUAGACCAUCAGGGCAUAUGCUCACACUAUCUAAUUUGGUUUCAAUUACUUCUCCACUGUCAAUUAAAUCCCUAAGCUGAAUCUAUGCAUCCAUUUCUCAAUUCAGCCUUCCCAGUUAUCUACAUCAGUAUUCUCAUCAUGGUAUGCCGUACUGGCUCGAACCGGACGGUAUAGAACGUACCGUACCAUACCAGUUUGGUAUCAGUAAUCGAUACAGGUGGCGUAUCGACACUUGGUACACCAAAAAAAUUUUGUACUGUACCAUACGGACAUUGUGCUAAUGUAGCACGGUACCGAGACGGCGAACCUUAAUUCUCAUCAUAAAAUAAAUAGGUCAUAAAGCAUAUGAGACAUUUGAAAUGUAUAGGAAGUGAGAAUGUACAUAGAAAACAAAAAUGUAUGAGUAUCAUAUCAGCUUUAUCAAAAUUUGAUUUAUGAUAUGAUUAUGUUAUCUCAUUAAUGAUGCCAGCAAGCAUCAAGCAUCCAAACUUUGGAGAUGUUAAUUGCAUGACUGUAUUAGGCAUCAAAUUCUAAUAAAUCAAUAAUGCAGCUCCUUAAGAUCAUGUUUUUAAGGGCAUGAUCUUAGUUAAACCACUUUGCUUCCUAGAUUCUUAUUCAUGUUACCUUUCUGGACUAGAUUUCAUAGAAAAGUCCUUUUGGAAAUAAAAAUUGCCUAUCAUCAAAUUUAAAGCCCAAAUAAGUUAUGUUUUUCAGAUCGUGCAGCAUGGGGGUCAUUUUUCUAAAUGAUAUUAAGCCUUAAGCCCCUAUAUUAUUUAUAUACUGACCUAAGUUCUCAGAGACAAUUUUCUCAAGAAAACAUUUGAAAGUUUAUACUAUUGAUAAAUCUUCAGCAUGCAUACAUAGUCAUAGCAUGCAAAUUAAAUGUAUCAAUAUCUAGAUGGAUGUCAACUCAAAUGAUUAGACCUUUCACUAAAUUGUUCUUCAAACAAUUUCUAUGAGUGAAUAAACAUUUGAUUGUCACAUUAUAUGUUUGAGAGUAGAAAUCAACAUGAUUUCCACUUGUAAGAGUUAAGUUAUUCAAAUAUUCACCAAUUUGAAGGGAUAACUUCAGAGAAGAGGUAUCUUCUUAUGCCCGGAAUGAGUUCAACAAAACCUUCCACUCCUGUUUGCAUCUAACUGGUCUCCACUUCAAAAUUCUCUCUCACAUCUCUCAAACGACAAUCAUCUCAUAUAAUCUCCAAUUCUAAAGACUGUAGUAGACUGCGCCCAGGUAAAAUCUUCAAGCAAUCCAAUCCUAACAAAACUAUGACCGCUCUAUGAUAUCAAGAAAUCGCAACCCAAUAAACAUAAAGAUAAAAUCUUCCCAUUUAAAAACUAAACUGCUGUAAAUCCAAAGCAGAUUUCCAGAAAGAUCAGCCGUAAAAAGAAGUAUGUUUAGCCGAAAGAACAGCAGAAGAGAAGGAAGAAGAUAUCGAAGUGGGAAGAAUCUUACGGAUAGUAUCGCAGCUUCCCCUUCUUGAUGUCCUGCUUUAUUGGAGUGUGGGGCUCGUCGGUGGCCACCUCCAUCUUGGCGCUGGUGUCCUUGGGGAUCUCGACGAUAACGUUGAAAACACCAUCGCCCAAUUGCAAAGGGACGUCGUGCCAAGGCGAGAUCUUUUUCCCGGAGCCAUCGAGGAAGAAGACUCGGUAGUCGAGGGUCUCGGGCUGGCCUUCUUCCUUGAUCUGUACGUCGUGCCUGUGGAGGGCGGCGGGGGCGAGGAAGUGCCGCCGGGACCGGAGGGAGGCAGCGGACCGCGGCUUGGGAAAGAAUGCGCGGUGCGUCAGAGGAGAGGUCCGCCACCGGAAUCCAUGGAGGGCGCCGGCGGCGGCGGCAAAUCUGGUGGCCGAUGCGGUGGCCGCCGUUGCCAUUGGAGUCCGGGAGCCUCGGAGUUUUUGGUAGAACGGGAGUCUCGGAGCUGGGGGGAGGAGGGGUACUGGGGAUUUGGAUUGAGGCCAGGCCUCUCCACGGCCUCCUUACGGCACUCGGGGGAUUGGGUAGCGGUUCAAGGGGGCCGACACCGCGUGGACUGCGGUCAGUCGACAACAGUCCUACCGACUCAAACCCGGUUCAGCCCUGACAUCUGUGGAUCGGGGAUACAUAGCAGACACUCAGGGCUGGUGGCGUAUCUAACAUUAUUCUAACCGUAUCGAUUCUCAAAUCCGAUUCAGAUUCAAAUUUGGAUAUUAUUUUUUUAUCCAAUUAGAUCUAAAUAUAAAUUUGGAUAGUUAAUUCAAAAAUCUUUCGAAAACAAAUAUGAAUGCGGAUAUAUUUAAUUUUUCUAGAUUCGGAUCCAAAUUUCGAUAUUCAUAUAAUAAGAGUAAGUGAAAAAAAAGAAAUUUAAGUUAAGUUAAAUUAAGAAAUCAAUUAUGUAAUUAAUCAAAGCUAAACUAAAAGUAACCUAAAUAUCAGAUGACCAUCAUUUUAGACAGUAACCCAAAUAUGGAAUAUCCAAUUUGAAUAAAAUCCUUUGAAUCAUCCAGCAUGCGUGAAAGACUUCAACCUCUCAUUCAUCCGUUUCGUCCCUCUUUUUUUUUCAUCGUCUUCAAACAACUAGAGUUUCGAAGGUCCCAUCUAUUUUUUAGUUUCCACUUGGCGAUUACAAUCGGCGACAAUCUUGUGAUGCCUUGGAGCGCCAUAGAUCUCAUCUACUUCGGCGAUGACCAACUUUGAGCGGUAUAUCUUUUAUGAAAUUAUUAGCUUUUAGUAUUAAUAAAUACUUAUUAAAAUUAAUAUUUUUUAAUUGAAUCUUUUUUUUGUGAUCAUUUCUUUAUUACUAGUUUUCAUUCUUGAAUUUUGUUCGAAUUUGAUUAAUAUAAAAAAAAUAUCUAAUUUAUAUUCAUAUUCAGGUAAGAAAAUAUGGAUAUGUUUAAUAUCAUAUUUUGUAUCUGUAUUCGUUUAUGAUAAAUAUGGAUAUACUUAAUAUCCAAUUCGUAUUCAUAUUCGUUUAGAACAAAUAUGAAUAUUAACUUUGGCAUCUGUUUAAUAUCUGUAAACAUAUCCAUAUUUGUUGAAAAAUAUAGUUAUAAAUAUGGACAUAUUAAUAUUCGAUUCGUUUUCAGCCCUAGACGCUCUCUACCUAGGAUACAAAUUUGUAGACUCGCUCUCUAGUUGGUGGACAAUGAGGGUUAUUAUAGGGUGGCAGUUGGUAUAGGGUAAAGACUCCAAUAUGUAGGUAGAGAUAACAAGAUCAUUAUAUUUGGUUGCUGCUCAACCUAAAUAAUCUUAAAUGGUAGUAAUCCCAACCUACUUUUAUAGUCACCGCUUAACCUAGUGAUGUUAAACACAUCCUUAAAAAUAGAUUUCCAAGAUCAUCUAAGGUAGUGAUGUUGGGCUAAAAUUCAGAGAUAAAAAUACUCCAUAGUCUAGCAAGAAAAAUUAUUUCCAAAAAUGUCAGUCCUUUGAAAACAGUUCUAGCUCGAAAAGGUUUGAGAUCCUAUAAAAAAAAUUCUUCUAGUUGGAAAGGUUUUUUUUUGUACAUAGUUGGCAAGAUUUGAUAAUCCUCCGGAGUUACUUUAACAAGUAUUAGUUAAUUUUUGGGCGUAUUGAAUUGACAUGGAAUAACAAGUUUUGAUAAUUUCGUUUAUGUUCAUAUAUGUUUUUCUAUGAUUUUUUAUGAAAAUUAUGUUUAAUAGUUGCAAAAUAUAUAGAAUAUAUCCAAGGUAUUUUGAUAUUAUAUUGUUAGUGAUCUUAAAAUAGCAUACCAAACAAGUUAAUCGUGGAUACUUAGGAAUAUUUAAUUAUCGGAAUAUAGCAUACCAUACAUAGUAAUCUUAGAUCAUUCAGGAACAAAUUGUUCUAGAAUGAGAAUCAUCACUAAUCUUUCUUUUUCUUGCAUCUCGACUACUGGAAGAAUAUUUAAAUAAUUGCUGUUAUUUAAAUCCUGGUCAAUAAACGAAAGCUUCUAAAAGUAUUAAAAAGCUAUUAUUUUUAUUUUUUAAAUUUUUGGUCAGAGAAAGGAGAGCAGGUCUCUCCAACUAUUAUCAUUUUUUUUUUUUUGCUAAAUGGCUGGAUCAUACAGUUCUAGUACGAAUAUAUCUAAAAAAAUAAAUAAUAUCAAAUCACGGAGUGAUCUAGACAAUUUUCUCUCUCCAAUCCAUAGGAUUUUUUUGGAGUGAUCGAUUACAUACGAGGUCAUCCAAUUCAUGGCUCCAUUAGCCUCUCUAUAAAUAUAUAUGGUCUGUAACACCAUACUGCUAAUAUCUCGAAACAAAGGAUGGCAUCUAUCUUGUCAUAGCGGCUCAUGCCUUCAUAUGGCCAGCAUAUUCACACCUUUAUUCCGAGAUUUAUCUUUUAUAUUGGUAGUCAUCACGGGUUCGCUGCAUCCAAUGAGUCAGCACAUAACGUCACUUUCGCGAUGCCCAGCACGCGACUCCAUGAACAGACGGAAGGGAUUAUAUGUAACGCCGGCAAAGAGAGACGUUAUGCGCGCCAGAUAUAACGCAUGGCAGGCUGGCAUUGACGGAUCUCCAGAGGACCCACCGCCUUCGCCUGUCUCUAAAUAUGCCUCCCGUGCGUCUGUUAUUUCGCUUUCUUCGGGGGGGACUGGGAGAGUGAGAAAGGGGGAGCGAUGGAAGAUGAAGGAAGGAAGGAAGACGGCCCUAACGGAGCGGUGGACGAGAGGUAUAGCCGCCCUUGAGUCAAGAUCGCAGUGCUCUACCACUGGUUCGCCGACUAGAACUACCUUUUUCUCGGUCUCUCCUCCUCCCUCUCCCUCCCUCCAUUCUUUCUUUUCCUUCUUUUUCUAUGCGUUUCUUGGUCCUCCUAGGGUUUUGAGUCUUGGUCCUCCCAGGGUUUUGGUUCUUGUUUCACUUGUUGUAUUGAUUAUUUGAUUUCGUACGGUGGAAAUUAUAGGUUUGUUGCUCAGGCUAGGGUUUUCUUGGACUCUUGGAGGGUUCUAGCUUCCAGGGUCCUGAUUCUUUAUUCUUUUCUUUUAUUUCUUGAUUUAUCAUCUUGAUUCAACGGGUUUUUCUAUGAAGAAAACAAUCAGAAAGGGAAAUUAUGCAGGAUUGGUGGCUUUAUCCGAGUAGAUGGUGGAGAAAGAGAUGAUCUUGAUGCAGUCACGGUCAGCAUUAUGGUACCAUAGAUCAAGCGUCGUUCUUGCUCCUUGUUUGUUUUCCUUUGUUUUCCCUUUUAAAUUUUCUUGUAUUUUACGGGCUUGAUUUAAAUUAAGUGAACAUUUGUCAAGAAAAGGCAAGCAAGCUUUUUCUUUUUUUGCUGGGAAAAAGCAAGCUUUCCUUGCUAAUUUUCAUUCUGCAUGUGGGAAUAUAAUGCAACAUUGGUAGCCAAAUAUGAGGAAAAUCAGCACCAUUCCCGCAUCAAAUCAUUCGAUUUACCUUAAUGGUACCCUUUCUCAGGUUUUCUCAUGGCAAGAUCUGAAGUUGUUUGUUUCCUUCUCCAUCANNNNNNNNNNNNNNNNNNNNUGUCAAGAAAAGGCAAGCAAGCUUUUUCUUUUUUGCUGGGAAAAAGCAAGCUUUCCUUGCUAAUUUUCAUUCUGCAUGUGGGAAUAUAAUGCAACAUUGGUAGCCAAAUAUGAGGAAAAUCAGCACCAUUCCCGCAUCAAAUCAUUCGAUUUACCUUAAUGGUACCCUUUCUCAGGUUUUCUCAUGGCAAGAUCUGAAGUUGUUUGUUUCCUUCUCCAUCACCCAAUUGCUCAAAUUGGUUGUGAGAUGAGGUGGUUUUCUUCUCGGUAGCAGCGUGAUGUCAUUCUUUUUUGAGCAAAUUUCAAUUAUAUUAAGUCUUAAAUUAUUAUGUAAAAGCUCUGAUGCAAAAUGGACUUAAAAAGAUGCCAGAUUUUUAGCUUUUAAGUAAAGAAUUAUAGAUAAUAAAUUAUAAUAAAUGAUAGCUUUCAAGAAUGCUUACUUCCUAGAGUUGUAUGCUUUCCCUUCUGGAUUUUUUCUAUGGGCUAUAGCCAGCUACCGCAUAGAACAAACUAUGCGGACAUCUUCCACUCAGAACGGCUAUGCGGAAAGCGUCUGCAUAAAGGAAACUAUGCGGUCCUUGUUCGCAUAGAGCGGACUAUGCGGAAGUCAAGUCGUCCGCAUGGAGGAAACUAUGCAGGAGGUCCGCAUAGAGGAUACUAUUUGGACAAGAGAGGAAACUAUGCGAACCUUUUCCAUACAUAAAUUAUGCGGACCAGUCCGCAUAGAAGAAACUAUGCUGAAAAUGUACGCAUAGAAGAACUACGCGGACGGAUUCCUCAUAGAGCGGACAAUGCGGACCUAUUCCCCAUAGAAGAAACUAUGCGGUCCAUUCUGCAUGGAACGGACUAUGCUGCAGUUGUUUCCAUAGAAGCAACUAUGCGGUCCAUCUGCAUAGAACGGACCAUGCUUGCGUAUACGCAUGGAACGGAUUAUGCGGACGUAAUCCGCAUAGAAAGGACUACGCGGAAGUUGUCCGCAUGGAUGAAAUUAUGCAGGAAGCCCGGACAAGAGUGAAACCUAUGCGGACUUCCCCAUAGACGGACUACGCGGAAUGCGUCUGCAUAGGAAAACUAUGCGGACAAAGUACCCAUAGACGGACUACGCGGAAUGCGUCCUCAUAGAACAAACUAUGCGGACAUCCUUCGCUAAGAACGGACUACGCGGAAUGCGUCCUCAUAGAACAAACUAUGCGGUAGUUGUCCGCAUAGGGAAAAACUAUGCGGAUUUUUCCGCACGGAAGAAGCAUGCGGAGUUGAUGGAGGAAACCAUGCGGACACUGUCCACAUAGAGGAAAUUAUGCGAACUAUGUCCGCAUGGAAGAUUAUGCGGACAAGGUACUCAUAGAAGAAAUAUGCGGACGGAUUCCGCAUAGAACGGAUUAUGCGGUCAUAUAAUGCGGAUGCGUCCACAUAGAACGAACUAUGCGGAUGGAGUCCACAAACUAUGCGUCCGUGUCUGCAUAGAACAAAACAUAGAGGAAACUUGCGGACUUAUCCGCAUAGAAUAAAUAAUAGACAACAUAUGCGGACGCGGUCCGCAUAGAAUAAAGUAUAGAAGAAACUGUGCGGACUUAUGGGUACUAAAAAGUCACGGUGCGAGGAACAGAAGUAAUAAUAUAUGAUGAUUAUAAAUCGAGUGAAAGGCUGUCGAUGUUUUAAAGUGCCAUGCUAACCUUGACGUCGCCACCGUUCGGGCGGAUGACCUGGCCGUUAACCCACUCGGCGGCGUCCGUAGCGAGGAAGCCCACGACCCGUGCGAUGUCCUUGGUCUCCCCCAGCCGCCCCAGCGGGCACUCCUCCACCACCUUCCUCACCGCCUCCUCGCUCUUCCUGGCGAAGAAGAGCUCCGUCGCUACCGGCCCUGGCGCCACGCAAUUGGCCGUGAUCCCCGUUCCCUUCAGCUCCUUCGCCAAGAUCCUUAUCAUCGCCUCCACCGCCGCCUUUGACGCAUGGCAGGCUGGCAUUUAUGGAUCUCCAGAGGACCCACCGCCUUCGCCUCUCUAUAAAUAUGCCCCCCCCCCGUACAUCUGUUAUUUCUCUCCCUUCUGACAGCGCGAAAGGGAGCGUCGGUCGAGACUGGGAGAGGGAGGAAGGGGGAGCGAUGGGAGAUGAAGGAAGGAAGGAAGAUGGCCCUAACGGAGCUGUGAACGAGACGUAUAGCCGCCCUUAAGUCAAGAUCGCAGUGCUCUACAACUGGUUCGCCGACUAGAACAACUACCUUUUCUCGGUCUCUCCUCCUCCCUCUCCCUCCCUCCCUCCAUUCUUUCUUUUCCUUCUUUUUCUAUGCGUUUCUUGGUCCUCCUAGGGUUUUGAUUCUUGGUCCUCCUAGGGUUUUGAGUCUUGGUCCUCCUAGGGUUUUGGUUCUUGUUUCACUUGUUGUAUUGAUUUCGUACGGUGGGAAUUAUAGGUUUGUUGCUCAGGCUAGGGUUUUCUUGGACUCUUGGAGGGUUCUAGCUUCUAGGGUCCUGAUUCUUUAUUCUUUAUUCUUUUCUUUUAUUUCUUGAUUUAUCAUCUUGAUUCAACGGGUUUUUCUAUGAAGAAAACAAUCAGAAAGGGAAAUUAUGCAGGAUUGGUGGCUUCCCUUCUGGUUUUUUCUAUUGGUUAUAGACAUACGUAGUUGUGGUAGUAACAAAAUGAGGAAUCUAGUUAUGUACAUAAAAGAAUCAAGAAUUCAAAUGGUUAUCACUCUCCUAUUUCCUCUUUAUAACCAAUAGAGGGAACAGCAGAAUUUGACUCUGUUGCCUUUCCUUUUUCAGUUUCUUCUUUUCAAUGAAAAUUUUUAUUGAUUGGUCUUGAUACUAUGAUAAUCACUUCUACCAGCUGUUAUCUGAACGCAAACAAUUUUAGAUAUACUAGUGUUAGAUGCUUCCGGGAAAUAUGCCUUUUUUUUGCUUCUUAGACUAUCUAAUGAGGACUGUCGUUUUUGGCUGGUUAUGUAGCUAUUUCAGGUUUGUAUUCUUAGAGUGAUUCUUGGCUCGAUGGUAAGGUUGCUCCAUUAUAAUUUGGAGGUCAUGGGUUUGAAACAUGAAAGCAAUAUCUCCGCACUCAAGUGUAAGGCUGUGCGCACCUGACCCCCUGAACCCAUAAUGGACGGGCAUGCAUUGGACCACUUUUUUUAGGUUUGCCUUCUUCUCAUAUGAAUUAUUUUGGAUCAAUGGUUGCUUUAUUUCAUUUGGCUUUGUGUAAUUAUAUGUGCAGCUUGGCUAGAAUUUCCUUGAUACUCAGAUGUAUAAGGGUAACAAAGUAAUAUGUUGACUAUGUUUGGUAGAACUAGAGGGAAGAAAUGUAAUUUCACAACAAUUGCUCUAAUGGGUUGUUGAAUUGCUUUAAAUUGUGUUCUCUUCAUUCAAACAUUUUUUUCAUUAGUAAUUUAUCGCUGAUUAUUUUGCUUUUGCAUAACUAAACUGGAGUAGAGCUACCUUCACUUGAUCCUUGGAUAAAUAUUUUUGUGUAAAGAUGGCUGGUGGAGCUAGGAGGAGCAAGCACUUGAGUUACUGGACACGCACCAGAUGAAGGUAAGGCUAUCAACCUUUUCAUACCCUUUGUGGUGUUAUUGUUAAAAAAAAAAAUGAAGUGCAUUGAUAUAUCUUAAGAUUCAAGUAUAUUUUUCAUUGUUGGUCUUCCCAGUUUCAUGUUCUAUGAUUUGAAUUUCCUAUUAGCUUAUCUGGUUUUUAUUAUUAUAUUUAAAGGAACAUCAAGCUUACUCUGAUUCUUUAGGUAAUACGAAAAGCACCCAUGUGUGUUUUCUAUAAAGAAAAUCAUGCAUAUAGUUAUAUUUUUAAUUAAUAUGUUCAAAUGUUUUGUACAUUAGCCCAAGCCUUGGAAAGGGUGAUGUGAAGGAGGCAGUAUGUUCUUUGAAGUUUACAGUAGACGCAUGUGGGAGGAGGUCAGUAUGGUAAUGUCCUUGGGUUUACCUUCUUAUUGAUCUGGGACAUCAGGGGCUGCAUUAUACGGGUGUAAUAAUUGUAUCGACCUAACACGGGUUUGGGAAAGGCUGGAUAGGGCUUUUGUGUCAGAUCAAUGGUUGGAUCUAUUCCCUGAAGUCUAGGUAUGCCACCUAACUAGAUUUGCUUUUGAUCAUUAUCCCAUACUUAUUUAUGCAAACAAUGAAGGAUCUAGGGGGUCUAUUUCCUUUUAGUUUGAAAAGUUUUGGUGGUCUUGUGAGUGCAUCCAGGAGGUUAUUCGUCAAGCUUGUCAUUGUCAUGGUAAUUAUUUUCCAGGUGUUAGGAUUACAAGGCUCCUUCAGAACACCAAGCAGACUAUCAAGUGGUGGAAUACAAAUAUUGCCAUUUGGCAAUCUCUUUAGGCAGGAGCAGCAAUUAAAUGAGUUGAUCCACUAGUUACAAGUUCAAGAAGCUCAACAAGGGGGCCUUACUAAUCAACAACUAAAGCAUCUCAUAACCCUUUUUCGAGCAUAUCAUUGAAAUCUUCACAUGCAGGAGAUGUUUUGGAGGCAAAAAUCCAGGGUUACCUGGUUGAAGGAUGGGGAUGUCAAUACUAAGUUUUUUCACCGAACUACAGUUCUCCAUAGGAGGUGAAAUAUAAUCACUAUGUUGCUGUCUGCCUAGGGGAACAUAAUUAAAGACCAAGCACUAACUAGGCAUAUGCUAGUAGAUCAUUUUCAGCAAAGGUGGGCUAAUCAAUCAGUAGUGCAGGAUAUUGGUCUACCUGUAGUGAUGCUAGAGAUCACUGGUGUGCAGAAUGCUACACUAUUUGAGCUAGUCACAGAGGAGGAGAUAGUGGAUGCUAUCAGGGGUAUGCACCCGGACAAAUUGCCAUGACCGGAUGGCUUUCCGAGCUUCUUCUUUCAUCAAUAUUGGCGUAUUAUUAAAAAAGAGGUCAUUCAAGCAAUUCAGUACUUUUGGUUUGGUACGAUGCCCACGUCUUGGAAAAGAACUUAUAUAACUUUAGUUCCUUAGAAACCUAACCUUGAAGGAGCCUAUCUAUAAGAUUGAGGCCAAAGUUCUAGUGGAUAGAUUAAAUCCUAUCCUUUCUAAUCUCAUUUCACUUGAACAAGGAUCCUUCAUUCAGGGCUGCAAUAUUACUGAGAACAUUUUGCUUGGCCAUGAACUGAUGCAUUCCUUGAUGCAGGCAUCCUCCUCUCAAAGCCUCAUGAUGACAUGUGUUCUAAAUCCUCAAUUUGCUAUGUUGAUCAAUGGUACACCUACCUACCCAGUACCCACUGGUUUCUCCCAGCUAGAGGCCUCAGACAAGGUUGCCCAUUAUCAGUCGUAUUUAUUCAUUAUGUGUUCUGUGGUGUUUUCUAGAUUCCUCUACGUUGCAGUACAAAGUCGCAUGUUAAGGACUUGUCAACUGGGUGGCGGAUCUGCAUCGUCAUAUGCUUUCUUUGCUGAUGGUUGUUUAUUGGUCACCAGAACUACUCUUAAGGAUAGUAUCUGUGUUAUGUCAAUUAUGGAUGUUUAUUGCUCCCUUUCAGGUCAAGCAGUCGAGGUUGAUAAUUCUCAAAUUAUAUUCAUCAACUUCAAAGUUUCUUUGGAAUGGCUGAGAAGAGGGGGGUGUGGAAAUACUUGGGGGUUCCAUUAUAUCAGGUAUGCCAUUGGUUCUCUCGGAUUUCAAUUUUCUAUGAAAAGGUGACAGAUCGGAUUGCGAGUUGGAAGUGGAGGGCUCUAUCACUAGCGGGUAGAGCAAACCUGCUCCAGUCCGAGCUAUCACCGAUACCUUUAUAUUUCAUGUCUUCAGUGCCUGUGCCUUUAUCAUUUAUUGCCAGAUUGGAAAAGCAAUUUUGAGCAUUUUUUGGGUGUCAUUCUUUGGACCGAAAGGGGCCACUUGAUUUCAUGGCCACAUGUAUGCACGCCUAAGUCUAAAGGGGAUCUUGGAAUGGUAUCUUUAUUUACUAGACGAAAAGCUUCUUUGUGCAAACUUGCGGCCCAGCUUAUACUUCACCCAAAUGCUUUGUGGGCUAAACUUGUAUUUGCCAAAUCUUGUUUCACUGGUACGUGGCUCAAUUAUUCAAAGCCAGGGCAGUGCUCUCUCAUUUGGCGAAGAAUUUGUGACUGGCCCUCUUAUUCAGCACCAUUUUCUAUGGACUAUUGAGACUGGUUCUAACAUUAAUGUGGUAACGGACCCCUGGAUUUCUACAAUUCCUCUUAGUGAUUGGCCUACUUAUUUCAACCUUCAUACCUGCAGCUUAGACUUUAAAAGUUCCAAGAUCUGAUUACCUGAGAUCAUCUAUGGAAUAGGGAAUUACUGGCUACCUUGUUUUCAACUGAGAUGAGGAACCAGGAUUUCUGCAUUCCUUUGGCGCAAGGAUCCAGCUCUGUUGAGUAGGCUUUAAUCAAGUCUCACUCAGGGACAUGUAUGCUUUUCUGGAUCUGCAGGUGCCGACAGGUGGGCAACAUAACUAUAGAUGGGUUUGGCAACUGAAAGUGCCAUUGUGGGGGUCAAAACUCUUUGGUGGAGGCUGUUAUGGGAUAGAUUACCUUGUAAAAAGCUACUAUGUGGGAGGGGUAUCAUCCUAGCAUUAACACGAAGUUUGUGAUCUUUGUGUUUCAGCUGUGGAGGAUUGUGAUCAUGCCACAGUAUCAUGUUCCUUUGCCGUUAGUUGUUGGAACCAGCUACAAAGCAUGGGUGAGCAAGUGUUUUUCCUUGGUCUUUGCCUAGGACCAUAUCAUCCGGACAGCUCUUCAUGGGUCCAUUUUAUGUUCCCAGCUGCCUCGUAUUCCUCUAUUCGCUACUGGCCCUGUUAUGUGCACUAGUUGAAUUCUUACAUUAUUCUGAUUAUGUGGCGAGAUCUCAUGGUAUCAUGGCACGGCCAAAUCGUCCCCAGCAUCUACGCUCCUGGGUUGCUUUAUUUUUGUAUGAAGUUUGCUGGAAGGCUGCUCUUUGGUUUGUAUAUUUUUUUCCGCUAAAGCUUACUUGUCGUAUUAGUGUGAGGCAUCGCAUAAGAAUAACCUAUCCUGUUACUGUAAUACCUUUAUAUUUGUACUCAGCGGCUAGUUCCUUUUACCCAAAAGAAAAAAAAAAGGAAAAAAGGGACCCGGUCGGUCGGAGAAGGAAAAAGCGUUAAGAAAUAAAGGCACCCGGGGUACAAAGUGAGUCAGCGCUGGCACGUGGUCCCACUCCAUGCCAGCCAAAUGCAAUAAAGUGUCCUUUACAGCUGGUGGGGUCGGUUGCACCCACCGGCUUUCCUUUGGGUUGCUAUAAAAGCCUAAUCAACGUGCCGGGCCCUGUCCUUUCUCAACAAUCUCGGGAGUCAAUUUUACCUGGUCCAAUCUUUCUGUCUUUAAUUUAUUGCAUGGCACCGUCUCGGUGGGCCCACCACUAUCAUUUUGUUUUUUUUCCUCCUGGAAGCUGUCCGUGUCGUCCUGGGCGCGCCAGAGACGAGACGGCGAGGGUGUAAGCUCCUGGAGGUGCGGUCCCACUGUCUCAAUCCUGAAAAAGCGCUGCGAAUCUACUAAAAUUUCAAUGUGAAAAGCCCCUAAUAACCCUAUGGUUCUGAUAAUUACCAUACGUGCUAUUUUUAAAGAGGUGAACCGCUGCUGGCUGCCAGGCACAUAACCAUAGUUAUAAAUUAUAAAUUCAGAACGGUAACGGAGAUGAUUUGGGGGAUGCCAGUUUUCAAGCUCUUGGAGCGAUACAGACGUGAGAACAUAAUAGGAGCUUUUGGCAUUGAAAAGAGCUCGCAGUACAAAGUGAGAAAAAAAAAAUAUUUAGCUCGGGUAGCAAGUGGUAAAUUUAACAUAGCAUCACAAAGAGACUCUUUUAAAUGGUGUAGGAGGAAGCUAAACCUUCCCCUGAAAUAUUAGUAAAAGAAUAAGACUAGAUAUAAGGACAGAUGAUGAAGAAAGAAGAAAAAGGUUGCAGUGAGAAGCGUAGUACGGAUGUAAGCAUUGCAUCACUUGUAAAUUGCUCGCAGCCCUUGUUUAUGGCUCAGGAAUCAUAUAAAAGCUCAACCAGUGGUCAGCAAAAAAUUCUUCAUACUGUCUCAUGGCUGCUUCUCAUGGUUUUGUUAAAGUCAUGUAAUUCACAACCUGCCCGCUCCUCUCAGGCCGUCCUCCAGGUAAAAAGCAUCCAAUCCAAAAACAAGGGAAAUUAAAAAAAGACGCGGGUUCGGGUGGGGGGUGGGGUAAAAGUUUUGUUAGUGAAAGCGCUCCUCCAUCAAUCUCGGAGUCACCGAAUCUGGAGGCUUCCCAGCGGUAACUUAUCCCCCACGCCCUCCCAACAGGAACCCCCACCGGCAAGGCACUAGGCCACUAACCACUUUGGUCCUUUCCUUACGUCUGCUAUUUUCUUCCUCCCCCACACCCCCUCCUCCUUCCCCUCCAAAACCGCUGUAAUUUCCGGAGACUUUGCGGGGCAGCGGAAGCGCCUUCGAUUCUCUAAAACCUUCCUUCUUUUGACUUGCAAGUCGGUGGCCGCGCGCUGAUGUCGACCUCGCCCACUCCGCGGCGCUUUUUGGCCCUUUUCGCCCUCGAAAGAUCCAGCAUUUCGAUCGCUCCUCGGAGUCGUUGCGGCCAGGGAAUGCUGGAUUUCUUGCGUCCUUUUUGAUUCGAGGGGUUGCAAUGGCGAUGUAGGUCUUGGGUUUUUCGUUCUUGCGAGGUUUCUUGGGAUGAAGACGCUGGACUUUUGGAGCUCGGAGAUCAUUUGAGCUAAGUUUGGUGGUUAGUUGGCACAAUGCGCUGGAGCGAGGCAGAGAUCUGUGUGUUUGAGUCAUGGGUUAUAAGAAUUUGGUGGUUUAGGGCUUUAGAAAAGUGAAAUUUGAGGGGUUGAUAGGCUUAUAAUAUUGUCUGUAGGACGAUUAAUUCUGAGAUGUUUUGGUGUAGAUGGAGAAGAAAAUGGUGAGUAUGGUCGAAGGAGGUCGAGCUGCGGUUGGUUUUCUGAUUGAUAUGUAGUGGUAUUCAGUGUUAUUUUUGUUUAUUUAGGUUUCAGAUGUCCAAGAGUUUGUGUAUUUUAGGUUAAAAUUUGUAGCUUUUCAUCAGUUUUAUGUGCAACUCUAGGAGCUGUCAUUGAUUUUGGGGAAGAAAGGUGCUUUUAGGAUAGGUGGGCUUUUGAUCGGAAAUGCCGAGCAUUAGAGCUCCUGCCUCGAAACAGACUGCAACACUCUUGGUUGGUCUCUCAACUAUGAAAGCUUACCCUUGGUUUUUUGACUGUUAACAAAUACGAUCUUGCCUUUGUCUGAUUGUAGGUGGCGGUCAAAUGCAGGCCAUUGACCGAGGCAGAAUGCCGGCGGAGUCGUCAUAUUAUUCAAGUAACUGAUGACAAGGUUUGAUAAUUUUUGCGUUCUGUUACCAUGUGAAAGCAUAAUUCUCUUUGCUUAAGAACAGGACAGCAUGCAAUGAUUGAUUUUUAUAUUACAGAAUUUAGUCGUUUUGGACCCCGACCUGUCAAAAGACUACCUUGAACGCAUUCAAAAUCGAAGCAAAGAGAGAAGAUAUAGUUUUGAUCAUGUAUUUGCACCUGGGUGCACAAAUGCGGUAUGCAAAAUUCCUCCUAUUUUGUUCAGUUGCUCAAAAUUAUAAGUUUCUCAUGCGUUGCUGUCUUUUAUGUUCUUCAACUAAUGACUUCCAAUUUCUAUUUAUGUGAAUUUUAUCCGGUUCUUAUUCUACAUCAUUAGAUUUAGCAAAAUAGCAAGAGUAUGAUAGAGAAAGUAAAGCAGAAAACUGUUAGAAACUUAGAAUGGUCUUGGGAUAUGCAUGGUGACUUAACCAACAUCAACCUAAUUAUGUAUAAUGCGCAGCAAACAGUGAUAGGAGUGGGUGUAUGAUUGGCUGAAGAGUUACAAGUUAGGAGGAGUGCAAAAAAGACCAAGGGUCAAGAAAAUUAGAGGAGACAGAAUUGUCCUUAGGAGGAUAAAGUUUUCAUCUACAAAUGAAAAUAAAUCAGUUAUUUGAAAUUUAUUUUUGACUUGUGGGUAUAUUUAUACAUAAAACCACCAAAAAGACUAUGAUUUAUAAUUCAGUUACUUAUUAUUGAUAAUUAUUUAAAUGGUCAAUUCAGUUUGAAUAGCACCAGAUCUGUUGACUUUGAGCACUGCAUCAUGGGUUCUACUCCAAUCAUGACCCAAACUAGCAAGGAAAGCUUGGGAUGUUGCAGUACCAUACCCUUCUGUGGUCUGGACCUCAUCCAUGGGCUUUACCUUCAAGUGAACUCCCUAUCGUUCGGUCUGAAAUUCUCAAAUGUCAUACAAAAGAAAUCUCUCGACCCAGAGCAAUUGAACUCCUAUUGUUACUUUAUCAAGAUCUUCUAAGAGAAAGGAUAUCUGGAGGGUUGGGAAGGAAAAGGAAAUGGAUGUGUGAUAGAAGGGGGGGGGAAGAUUAGAGCAAGGAAUGGGUCUCCUGGAGGAACUGUUGGACUUGUACAAAUGGAGGGCAACUCUUGGAGGAGCUGUUGGACUUGUACGAAUUGAGGGCAAAGUGAUGGAGAACUCAUGUACAAGAAGGACCUGAAGAUGCUCUAGUAAAGAGAGGUUGGAAAUUGCAAGAAAGGAUUUGGGAAAGCAUGCAAAGUUAGAGGUGUCUUAAUAAGAAUUAUUGGCAAACAUUGAUUUUUUUAAGCUGUCAGCAGUUAGUUGGUAAAAGGGUCAUCACGAUUGUGAAGGUAAUAUAGCUGGCUUUGAAAUUUGAUUGGCUUACAAUCAUAAACUCUUUCGAUUAUUGGACGUUCCGCUCUUUCUCGUGUAGGGGUCAUGCCCCUGAUGAUUCUGAACAAUUCAUGGGAGUCUUUGAUAUGUCAAUUUAGUAACUAAUCCUACUCUGCAAUAUGCAUCUUUCUGUACUUCAUGCAUGGUAUGCUGUACCGUACCGCAUACUGACACUAUACUAGUGUGGCACCGGUACAGGGUCCGAUACUGAUACGGCGAACCUUGAAUUUAUGUUUUUUAAGAUCGGAUAAACUUGAGGACUUCUUUAGUUGAUAGAUCGACUGUUGAAUAUUGAAAGAAGAAGGGAGUGUGAACAUAAACUUCCUGUCUAAACCUUUACAACCAUAAUACCUCUAUUCAAGUAUAAGAAAUGUUGAUAUACUUUGUUAGUAUUUUGAGUGAAAACUGUGGUUGUAGCAUUACAAUUUUGGAGUUCUAGUGCUUUCAACUUUUGCGAACAUAUUUAUAUGUUUCCAUUUUGCAUUUGACCUGAUCAGGAUGUAUAUAGGAAUAUCUCAUCUACAAUCGCUGGGGUCAUUCAAGGUCUUAAUGCAACUGUGUUUGCAUAUGGUUCAACUGGAAGGUACUAUGUUUGAUAUUGCAUUCUUAAUCUUUUGUAUUCUUUGAUAUGUGACUUCCAGUUUGCGUAGCAGAUGGUGUGAUGAUUUUGCACUUGGGCCAUUUACAAGACUUUAAACAGUAAUACUAUCUCGAAAAAAUUUGAGUCUGUUUCAGUAAAUCCCCAACAACAAGGAGCAAAACAGUCAGUUAUUUGUUAUUUUUGAUUUAUUAUGAAGUUCACCUUUGAAGUGCAACAUCAUCUUUUGCUGAUCAUAUCAAAGUGAUUAAUCAUAUUGCCUUGGAGUUACUUAUUGCUUUUGUUUUCUAAAAUGUUUACUAUUUUAAGUUUCUAAACAAAGAGUCCUAAUUGAUUUCAGAUGGUUCCAUCUAGCACUUACUUUUUCUAAUUUUUAUUGGAUAAGUAUUAUUAUCUUUGUGUACUUACCUAUCUGUGAAUCUUCUAAAUAUAAAAGAUGUCAGAUUUUAUAGUAUAUAAUUCUCAUGAAGUACUUUGAAACUCUCCUAUGAGCCUUCUGAGAUCUAAAAAAAAGGUCAUGAUUUAUUAGCUAAAUAUAACCUUUUAUGCAAAGACAUGGGCAUGAUAGCAUUUUGAGAAGAUAAGUCUUGUUAUUUUGAACAAAAUAUUUCAGGCCUAGUCUUUAAAAAAUGAACGGUUUCUACAUGAUUAUAAAUGCAAGGCAUCAACAUGAUUGUCCCACAUAAACCACAUAGUACUUGUUAAUUGUAUUAUCAACUCACCAAAGUCAAAUUUUUAAUGUCAAUAACCUUUUCUGAAGUUGAACCUGUUUGGAUUCUGAACCUUUUAAUGGCCAAAAGAACUGCUUACAUUGUUCAUUUGAUGGUUCUCAAAUUUCUUGCAAACUAGCUAUUUUCUCCUUUCAAGUUUUUGCUACUUUGAAGUCUUUUUCUUGUAAUUGCAAUUAAUAUAUUAUAUGCAUAAAAUAGAUAUUACAGAGCUUCGCAUGUGACUUACAAUCAUGUAAUUGGAUUUUAAGACUGUUUUUCUCGAUAUAAUCGUACUUUUUUCUGCAUGUAUACAGUGGGAAAACAUACACGAUGGCUGGCACCCGUAAAGACCCUGGACUAAUGGUUCUUAGCUUUGACACAAUUUUUGAUCUUAUCAAGAAGGAUGAGAGCUCAGACAACUUCGAAGUCUCUUGCUCCUAUCUUGAAGUGUACAAUGAAGUAUGACAUGCAUUGGCUGUAUUAAGAAUGUUGCAGUGUUAAUUGUCUUUAAUUUCCUACUCUAUAAAGAAUUUUGACAACUUUAUUUCCCCCAUUCAUUUCCAGGUUAUCUAUGAUCUGCUUGAAAAGUCAUCUGGACAUUUAGAGCUUAGAGAAGAUCCGGAACAUGGAAUAGUGGUUGCUGGUUUGAGAAGAAUUAAGGUUUUUUCCCAUUUCCUGCCACAUUUAUAUUUUCUAUUGUGAAAUAUAGCGGGACUUUAUUUGUCACAUGCCUUCAUUUAUAUUGACAUUUGUUGUUGUUCUUGUUUCCCCCUUCUCACUUGGAAGCAUAAUGCUAGCUUUUUCAGCUGUGUUUUUGCUAGUUUCCUUCUGCAUUUCACAGCAUGUAUUGGUGUAUGAUUUUUCCUUUUAUAGGUACUUUUCUGAAUGAAAAUUUUGAGUGUGAUACUAAAAUGAAUAUAGAAGGAGAUUUGCACCAGAUGCUGUUUGUGGAGGUAUGGAAAUAAAAUACGAAAGCAUUUUAUGACUAUAUGUAAGUUGAUGAAGCAAAAGAAAAGAAAAGAAAAGAAAAUAGAGCACAAUAAGAUUAUAUCCUUUUGGCUAAACAUGACUACCUUUAUUUUUACCCUUUUGACUGAAGAGGUUUUGUCAGUGAUACUCAUCAGAGUGUCUUAUGCUGUAUUGUUUCUCACUUCUAGUGGGAUGCGCUUUUCUGUACUUGUGUCCAAGUUUUUGUGUUACCAAUCUCUUUUCCAAUAUUCGGAGUGUGCUAUCCUGUUUUGUGGAUCUCUACUCUCUGUUCUAAUAUUAUCUGAUUAUUAUAUUUACUAGCACUUCAUGUUUUUAGUUAUCUUUCUCUGAAAUUUGUGUUUAUCCCUGCAUAGUAUUAUUAUUGUUUAAACUUUUUUUGAUCAUUUCUUUGAUAUUUCAUUCUCCUCAGGUCCAAUCAGCAGAUAAGAUUCUUGAACUUUUGAAUGUUGGAAACAGUAGGCGCAAAACAGAAAGCACGGAAGCAAAUGCAACCUCAUCACGGUAAGUCUUGUUUUCACAGUCAAUUGUGUUUUUGCUUUUUUCCCUUAAAUAUUCAUGGCAAUGUUUGUGGUAUUUCCAUAAAUUGUGCUUAUCUUAGUAGUUAAAGAGUUUUCAGUGACAUUUGAUUACUAAAGAAGAUGAAACUGUUUUGAACCAUUUCUUGCCUAUCAAUUUUAGCCUGUAUGAUCUUUGUGCUACUAUUCUAACAUGUUUUGUUGCAUUAUAUUUACACGUUCCCUCAUUUUAUUGUCUUUGUGAUAGUUUGUCAAUUCUGUGAUGACAUUUAUGGACAGCAUGGUGUAAUAUCUGCAGAAACAGUAAACUUCUCUCUUUUUUUUUCUGCUUUAACAGUUCGCAUGCUGUAUUGGAGAUCACUGUGAAGAGAAAACAGAAAACCCAAUAUAAGAGUCAAAUUCUCUGUGGAAAACUUGCAUUAGUUGAUCUUGCUGGCAGGUGGAUGGCUACAUACAAACAAUUUCAUCUGUUGUUAUUUGUCUCAGUUUCCAGAAUACGGAAAAUUACAUCAAACCAUCUUAUGCGCAGUGAAAGGGCUUCUGAAACACACAGUGGAGGGCAAAAGCUUAGAGAUGGAGCCAAUAUUAACCGUUCACUCCUUGCUUUGGCAAAUUGCAUCAAUGCCCUCGGCAAACAACAGAAAAAGGGACUUGCUUAUGUUCCUUAUCGCAACAGGUACCUGAAUGACAAUCAUAAAGCAUACCUUUUCUUUAUUGGUAGCCAAUGCUGAGCUUUUUUUGGCAGUAAGUUGACCCGCAUUCUAAAGGAUGGACUCAGUGGUAAUUCUCAAACAGUCAUGGUUGCUACAAUAUCACCUGCUGACGAUCAAUAUAUCCACACUGUGAAUACCCUGAAAUAUGCAGACCGAGCUAAGGAGAUCAAAACACAUGUUCAUGUAAGGGCUAAUUAUGUGGUUUGAGUGCCAGCUCCUGUUAUGGUAACUUUUCAUAUAUAUUCAUUUUAUCCUUGUCCAAGCAAAAAUACAUGGAAGGAGUAUAGAUAAACUUUGUUUGUAGAAACUGCAUGCCGAAACUAUGCCUUCUUGGCUGAUGGUAAAACUGUUAUGGUAACAAAAGGGACAAACAUGAAAGACCCCCCUAAAAGGAACACCUAAGUGGCUCAGCAUCUCAGCUGUCAAACUCCCAUAUUUCCAAAAUAAAGCAGAAUUAUUGUGUAUACCUAGUAAUGUCAGCAUAUGUAUCAGAAAUGUCAAAAAAUAGAAGUUAACUGUCUAUAUUUUUCUCACUCUGUCACAUAAAAAUGAUGUUAUUGGCUACUAGAUUCUUAUUUUGGUUCUUUUCUCAGAAAAACAUUGGGACAGUUGAUACUCAUGUUGCAGACUACCAAAGGAUGAUUGGAAAUCUUCAGGUUUUCUUUUGGCCCAAAAGAAUGUCAUUUUUCUUCUUCCCUUUGGAAGGAGUGAAUAAAUUGGUUGACAUAUGUUACACAGGUUGAAGUUUGUCGUUUAAGAAAGGAACUAGCAGAGAAGGAGUCCCAGUUAACUACAAAACCUGCUGAAAAAGCUGCAGAUGAUGAGCUAUCAUGGUUGAAUAUUUUAAGCCGUGAAACUGGUGAAAAUGUUCAGGAGCGCAUUAAUCUACAGAAGGCUCUCUUUGAGCUUGAGGAAACUAACGUACGCAACCGCAUUGAGCUCCAACAUCUUGAUGAUGCGAUUGCUAAACAGGAGGUCUAUACUUUCCAUACACCAUUAAAUUGACAACUUUUAUUCUAGUUCUCUUGUUUUUGUAAAAGAUUCUAGUUCUUUUCAAUCAUUCUUUUGAUCAUAGAAGUUAAGUAAAACACUAUUUUUAUCUUCCUUUUAGUAUAGCUUAAGCAAUGAACAAGAAAUCAGGAAGAGAUAUGGAACAAAAAAAUGGUCACAUGGAGGUCAAACCUGUAAAUUAUGUGGGCGAACUACUUCUUCUCCUAUUUGAAUCUGCAUGCAGAAGCCAUACUGAAGUUUUGAGAUAGUAUUGAAACAUAAACAAAGUUGGUGGGGUAACACUUGAUAAUUAGUGAUUUCCUCCCAUCUCUGCAUGUGCAUCUUCAUACUAAAGUAUUUCAGAAUUGAAGUAUGUUGUGAAGUAUUUCCAUUCCGAUUUUGCAAGUUAUGGUUCAUAUUGUCAUUAUGAACAUAAAAAUAUAUUGUUAGGUUUGGAGCUCAAAUUUUGGAGAAAACGAGGUUGGCGAGUUCUUAAAAAAGUUUUGGAAAUAAAAUUUAUUUAAAAUUCUAAUUGAAAAAAUUAUUUUCCUUUCUGAAAUCUACAUUGCAUAUCAUGUUGAUAGGUAAUGUUCAACAUACUCAACAGAAUCCCCAGAUGUUGCCUCGAAUGAAUUGCACCUUGUGCUUGGAAUCUAUUAGAUGACUUGCUGAUUGCUUCCUUAAUAAAUUCCAUUUACUCUGCACUUUAAGCUCUUCUGAGUGUGCUUCUUAAUAUGUUUCUGGAUUUUGUAGUUAAUUUCUCCCUUGAUAGCAGUCCAUUUCACUUUUGAUAAAUUUCUGUUUGAUCCGGAAGAAAUUUGGGGAGCAUCAGUCGAAGCAUGAAAACCUAUUGUUUUAUGUUAUUGUUUAUCUGUGUGAUGUAUGUGAUGCGUGAGUACACCCACACAAGCCCCUAUUUGUGUGGGUUUGUGGUAGGAUGUAUGCUUAAAAUGGUAGGAUGAAUAGUCUGUCUCUAAAUAAUAGAAAAAAAAAGAAAGAGCAAAAGCCCCAAAUGGCUCUCAAGUUGCAACUCAUACAAUAUAUCUAGAGAAUCUCUUUAGAUAUGAGUAUAAUAAAAUAUAUAGGCGAAGGCAUCUAACUUUCUGAUGUUCUUGAAGCAAGUAGGCAAGGGCGAUGAAACUGAAUCCAAUUGGGUUGAGUUCAGGUAAAUAUGUAGUACAAGUAUAGAUCAUCCUCAACGAAGGGAGUAAAUUAUGCCACUCAGAGAAUAAAAAAGUAAAGGUCAAGACAUAAUUAUAGCACCAUAUCCCAAAUGCUAUAAUGUCUUAGAUCUGAAGAAAAAUGUGGAAAGUUUUAUAGGUAGACACAGUUCACUGGCAGGUGACGUUGGCAACUCCAGUGCCUGAAUUUGAUUGAACUCCACCAACACCCAGUGGAUAAUUAGUCCAAUGACCUAAAGUUUUGCUAUUAUAAGACAACUUUCCAAUAUUUGUGAAAUUUCAUUGUAAUUUGAGGAUUAUCUAUAGUCUAUUGAUGUUAGAUAUGAAGGUGACGACCAUGAAUUUUGUCCAACAGUUGAGAUUGCCUACAACUGGCUAGAUCACACAUUGCAUCUUGAAAAUUUUGUUGAAGGUCCUUAUUUGAUGAAACUGUCUAAAAAGCAUUCUAGGGAAUGUGAAAUCUGAUCAGGGGAAAGCCAGAUUUGUAUGAUUAUAGACUAAAAUUAUAUACAAGUCAUGUACGAGCUUGUGCAAAUAAUGCAUGGACUUAUUAUGUGGAUAUACAUGCUUUGAUAUAUGCAUCACUGUGCACUAGGGCACUUUCUCUAUCAAGAUUACUGCAAAAUCCUUCAAUCCAAGUGCCAUGAAGUGGAUAUAUAUACACAACAGUUAUAUACUGAUGCUAACAAACUACCUGUGGAUCUAGGUUGUUGAGAAGGAUGGAACGGUUGUACAAGCUUUAAGGUCUAGAAGACAAGUUAUUCUUGAUAACAUUCGUGAUAAUGAUGAGGCCGGUGCUGGUUACAAGAAGGUAAUUCUCUUGUCAUCGUCUGUUGCAUUGUUUUUCUGAAACCAGCUAAUUUAUGCAUAUAAUUUCUUCAGGACAUUGAGAUAAAUGAAAAGCACCGGCGCCAGCUUCAGAACAUGAUUGAGGAAGCCAUAAGUAACAAUGGCAACAGAACAUAUUUGCAUAUUCUCAGUCAGUACAGACUCCUAGUAAGUAUAAACUUUGAUAACUUUAACUCAUUGAUCUUUGUGUUUUAUUGACUGAUUCCUGUGCUUACAAAAAUAUAGGGGAUGGCAAAUACUGAGCUUCAAUUUGAAAUGGCCAUGCGGGAUCAAGUUAUACAUAAUCAAAGAGAAGCACUGAGGAACCUGUGGAACAUGCUUUUGGGUUUGGGGCUUGAGCAGAAACAGAUAAUGGAUUUGGCUGCUAGACAAGGGAUUGUGAUAGAAGACUGCACUACUCCCUAUGCAAAUUCUGUUGUUGCUAAGCAGUCACCAUUUUUGCCUUGCUGCAGAUUCUCACCAUUAGUUGCACACCCUGGUCCCAGCAUACAACCACAUGUUUCUACUUGUUUCUUCCAGCACCACCAUGGUUUCAGCUCUACGGCUUAUCUUAGGGGUCAGCAUGACACUUCUACAGUAUGUAGACAGGAACAUCUCAGCUCUUAUUACUUGCUGUCUCCCAACUACUCUCAAGCUGGAUUUUCUGGGAUGGAGAAUCCAUGGGCAGUUGGAAGAUCGGGUGCACGUUUUCAUACUCCUGAAAGCCUUCCUCAAGAAGCAUGCAGCUUCUACUCGGCAAUGAGAGCGCAGCAAUGUCCAUGCAGUAAGGAACAAUUCACACCAACUUCUUGUGAAGGCCAUGGUCAGCAGCCGAAGGUAUUAAUUACAGCAUUCUUGUGUCGAUGCUGAUGAAAAUUCUGCUUUGGUUUUCUUAUCCAUUAUUUGUCUCAGUUUCUUAAAGCAGCUUAAUUAUUUGCACGACUCCUAAACAAUUCUAUGCCGAAUAAUCAAGAUACAAGCUAAUACACUCUUACCUAUUCUAAAUUUGUAAUUUGACCUAUAAGCCGAGCAACUAGGGCAACCUCAAAUGCUGGCAGACAAUCAGAAAAUUAGUUCAAAUGCACAAUCAAGAUCUGACUGGAAGUCACCAUGGUAGGUGUCACUUAUAGUUGGCCCAAUUCCAAAUGGGGUUUUUAAUUUAUUUGUAGUAUCUUGAUGGAUCGGCAUUCAUCUAUGGUGUCGUAGAACAUGAUUUGAACUCUAUGAUGCACAUUCUCAAUUAGCUAUCAAGGUGCAAUAAUUUUGGUUUCUCAUGGUAUGUGACCAUAUGCUAAAGUUCCCUAUAACCUAUAGUUUCAACGUUCUGAACAGGAAUCAUGGGCUUCAAGCAGCCAAAACUCGUGGGAAGUUCCUUCCGUUGCAGUCAACAACAGCAGAAACCUGCCCAUGAGGCGCAGUGGGACAAACUGUAGUGUACGUCAGAACUCUUCUGCCGAGAUCAUAGGCACUGGUAUUCCUGAAUCUCGUCAUCUUUGUUCACCCUAUGGAACUACACCAAGGGCUUUUAAUCCGUCUGGGUCAUGAAGUGUUCCAUCCUACAGUUUCGUUUGUGGUUGCAAGUAACUGUCUUCCACCCUUCUGUACCAGUGCUUGUGGUCAAAGUAGAGCUUCUUUGAUGUGCCUGAAAAAAAAAGAGAAAAAUGUAAAGCUAAUUUAGCCCCUUACCGAUUUUAAAUUUUUUUUGGGAAUUACAAUCUAAUGAACACCUAGCAUCCUCAGGUAGCGAUUAGAUAAUAGUUAUAUAAUAUUAUUCUGUAGCACUUCAUAAAGUAGAUCAAGCAACUGCAUGCCCAAGGGAGAGGCUGGAAUGGUAUGAUCUAUCCGGAAGCCUAAGCUAGUAAUCAAUCUUCUAGCCUAAGAGAAAUAUAUGUUGAUACCGAACCAAUCAUCCGCUGGAUAUUUCGUGGAGAUGUUAGAUUUAGUUAUAAGAUCCUUUGGGUUGGAGCCAUUUGUUAUUCUUGGCUCAUAAAGCAAGUGAUAAUAUAUGCUUAUGCACUUCCUCUUUUUCUGGUUUUUUUUAUUGGAUAAUGAUACAUAUUUAGGUCAUUUUGCCCCUGGUCUGAAACAAGUGAAAUUAGUCUGCUACAUAUGGUGCACUUAGAUUUGUGGAAAUGAAGAAAAAAAAAUCCAACCUUUUUAUGCAAAAUCAAUAACUAAAUAGAUUUGUUCGUACAAUCUAUAUUUUUUAUAUUAUCGCUUCGUUAGAGCUGCAUGGUGAAUGGAGAGAAGAAGCGCUGCUGGAUUUCUUUGCCAAGAUCAAUUGGUUCCCAUAUCAACAUGCCAACAUCAAUUGGCUCCCAUAUCAACAUGAAAUCAUACUAAGGUGGUAGCACCGACCAUUAACACAUACGGGACUCAGUCUUCAACUGAAAAUUCGAAAAUUUUGAUUUUUUUUUUGUUUUAAUGCAACAACUAAAAGAGUUGUUUCACUUCUUCCGUCUCGUCCAUAAGGAAUUGUGAACGCGCACAUCCAAUGGGUGGGGAUUGCGCUAAGGGCAGAACGAACUACGGAGGAGGUGACCGGCUAGUGUUAGAACUUUGCUUUUUUACUGUGCUAAUCUCUUCUCUAUCUUUUUCUUCUAUAAUGAUAUUCUGAAUCUGUAAUUCUACGUCCCAGGAGGUGGGGGACUUAUCAUGGUUGAUCUCUAACCCUAUUAAGAGUUCGAAGGCAUAGAGAAUAAGCUUUAAUGUAGAGACAUGGCGAAAUAGCAAGCGGUUGCUUGUCACAACCUAGAGCCUCAUCUAAAAAGACUGGCAGGAAGAUUUUUUUUUGAUUCUUUAGUCCUAUAUAAAUACCUAAGAUUAUUCUGCUGAAUAAUUAAUAUUAGACUAAACAUAAGUCUAUACAAAUGCUCACAUAAUUGAUGAAGAUGACGGUGCCAUCAGCAAAUUUAUUGAACCCUGCAAAAUUUGUUUCUAAAAUAGUGUACGUCACCAUACCUGCUGAUGUUUUAAAUCCGCAAAUCUGUUGGAUUUAAUCUUUUAAUGCGUGCAUGAAUUAUUUUUUUUUCAUAUUGGCAUCUUUUAAGGAUGUUUCCAGAACUGGAAAUGUUCUGUAGAUCUAUUGGACGGUAUCUUUUGAAGCUUGAAUAAAUGUUAUGACGUACUUCUCAUAUGUUAUCAACUGAUGCCUGCGUGAUGCUUUAGCUUUUAUGGAUUCUAAUGCAUGUACCCUUUAGGUGAUACACUUAGUAGGGGCAAGAUGAAUGGAUAUGGUCGCGACGAGAUGAAAAUCUAUGCAAUGAGAUCCGGGGCUGGUAGUUCACAUCUGAUAACUUCUGCAACAAAUAUUUUUUAAUUUUCAUUUUACGUCUCAUGAACAUGUGUAAUGGAGGGCUUCUAUAUGUUUUCCUUUCUUUCUUUUUUUUCCGAGAGAAAUGACCUCUAUAUGUAUUAUUUUAUGAAUUUAAGCAUGUAGAUGUUCAUAGAUAGAUUUUUGUGAAUGCAGCUUCAGCAACCUUCAUUCAGAGACACAACAUUUGUGAAUCCACUUGCGCAUUUGAUAAAAAGAUUAAAAGCAAUAAAUUCUUAUCCUUUAAUGUAGCUUCAUGAUGCAUUCUUGCUUUUUAUAAUUCCACCUCAAUCUUCUUUUUCUUUCUUUCUUUCUUUCUUUCUGAAACAAGUAAUAACUUUGACCACUAGUAGAUGCUCUUCUCUACUUUUGGCAGAUACUGUCCUCAUCCAAGAAGUGCCAUGCUUUUCAGAGAUUGCUUUCGAAGCUUUCCAACUAUAUAUUGUUACUCUUUUGCUUAUUAUCUUCUUCUUUUACUUCUGCACUCAAGUGCAACUGAAGUAACCUUCUGUUCUGAAACUUCAACUCUUAAUGAAAUGGAUGGAGCUCCUUGUCUUCUCCUUUGAGAAGAAACUCACUCCCCGUAUGCAGACCACUAAUAGAAACUCUCCUUAUUGGAUAUCCCUCUUAAUAAGGUGGUCUUGUCCUCCCAACAUUGGAUGCUGUGGAUCUGUAAUGAUCUUACUAGAGAAUUGAGAUAGAGGUCUAUCAUAGCCUAAACACUUCUAAUAUCAGGAAUUGAGAAGAUGCCCCGACAAAGAAAUUUGAAGGAUUUACUUGUAAAUCUAGAUAUUUUAGUUGGCUGUACUUAGGAUACGUUUAACUAAGACCAUGAAGAGAUAUAGUUCUUUUUUAAUUGGAACCUUGACAUUUCACAAUAUGAACCUCUUCCAAUUUUUUUUAUUGUCGCAAUUUCUCCUUAGCAACCUUGCAGAAUCCUGCUGAAUUCUGUAGGAUAACGGGAGAGGAAGAGUUCUGCAACCCCGAUCUUGGUAGGAUUAGAAGAAAAAGACCUCUCCAGAUCUUUUCUUUCAUGGCUCAAAUUCGUCGUUCGGGUUCGCAUCAUGUGUCAACCCAAGUGGUGGGUUUCAGGGAUAACAGUCCCAAAUAGACUAAAAAUUAAACCAAAAGAAAGAAAGUUCUUUAAAUUUUUACUCAUAAUAAUAAGAAAUUUGGUUUCUGAAGAACGUUCCAACAAUUAAUCUAAAUAAUAUUAACAUUUGUCAUGUACUGAAUGGAAAAGGAGAAAAUGUGUAUACCUCAUAUCCUUGCAAAGAAUAGGAUUCAACACUCCACAUACUUUCCUACAAUAUUUUAAAGAACAAAUGAGCUGAGCAGCAAAUGAAAUUAUUCUUCCUAAACUGUUUAGAACACAACAUAAUUUCUGCUAUGAGGAAUUUAAGCAGAAAAGAUAUCUUAGAGAGAAGUUGGUAAUGAGGGUGUGAAGGUAAAGAUUGUUAGAACAAGCCUAAAAUAUAAAUUUUGCUUAAUCUCUUUCAUUACCAGUGGAUUUUUCCACACAUACCACGGUGUUUCUCGCAUGUUUUCAUAGUAGAGAAAAGCAAGAAAAGAGGGAAGAAAAAUAAAAUCUUUGAAAAAACUUAAUAAUAGUACUAGAGACAGAGAAAAGCAAGAAGGGAGGGAAGACAAAUAUGAUCUUUGAAAAAAUUAAUAAUAGUUGCAUAUAAUUAGAAGUUAUUUAUAGGGUUUAGGAUUGGACUCAGCCCAUGAAGUGGGUGGCCAUUGUUGAAAUGUAAUGACACCGUAAAGACCCAUACGAGUGUAUGUUUAAUUUUUAUAUCGGCUACGCACUCAGAAAAUUUUGGAUAUUUAUACGAGACUAAGUAACAAAAUAAGAGCUUUCAACUAUUUUUUUAGUCGAGGACCCCGGCCGUUAUAAAUGAUGCUAGCAUGGAUCUGAUCUAAGAUUGACUACUCACCAAUCAUAAUGCUUGUGAUUGAGUUUGAAUGAAUUUGGAUUUUAAGUGAAAGAGUGUACAAGGAUUCAUGUGAGUUUGUGUUAGUUCCGGAUCAAUUAUAAUACAUUUUGAUUAGUCUUUUUAAUCUUCAUCAAUUAUAAUACCUUUCGUAGAAGAAUUUAUGCGGGUUUGCAUGUCGGAGCGACAACCUUAAUACAAAAGUUGAUGGUCGUUACUUUCAUUCUUCUUAUAACCUACGGUAAAAUUCCAGUUGACAGAGCUGCCAAUGUUGCAAAUAUCCAGGGUUAAGCACUCAAAGUAGCCUUCAAUCCCUCUUGCCGCCACCUCGUCGUUGGCCAACCCUCUCGGUACUCUCCAUCGUCGGAAACCACAGCACCACCCAGUGCCGGCGAUGGCCUCCUCCGCCCCGCCCACUGGAUCCCCUUCCUUCUCCCCACCGUACGUCCUCCGAGAAACCCUAACCGGCCACAAGCGCGCCGUUUCAGCCGUCAUGUUCUCUCCCGAUGGCGCCCUCCUCGCCUCCGCCUCCGCCGACAAGAGCCUUCGCGUCUGGUCCGCCGCUGACCUCUCCCUCCGCGCCGAGCUUUCAGGCCACGCCGCGGGCGUCUCCGACCUCUCAUUCUCCGCCGACGGCCGCUUCCUCUGCUCCGCUUCCGACGACCGCACCCUCCGCCUCUGGGACCUCGCCACAGACGGCGCCGCUGCCCCCCUCAAGACCCUCACCGGCCACACCAACUUCGUCGUCUGCUGCGCCUUCAACCCCCAGUCCAACCUCAUCGCCUCCGGGGGCUUCGACGAGACCGUCCGACUCUGGGACGUCAAGUCCGGCAAGUGCAUCCGGGUCGUCCCCGCCCACUCCGACCCCGUCACCGCCGUCGACUUCAAUCUCGACGGCUCGUUGAUCGUUUCGAGCAGCUACGAUGGGCUUUGCCGGAUUUGGGAUGCUUCGACUGGACGUUGUAUGAAGACAUUGAUCGACGACGAGAGCCCGCCGGUGUCGUUCGUGAAAUUCUCCCCCAACGGGAAGUUUGUGCUUGCUGCUACCCUCGACAACACCUUGGUACGACCACUGAUUAACUUCUGAAUUUUUAUGAUAUAUUUUCUUUUUUGUAAUUGUGUCUGUGUUGAUGAGUUCUAUUGCAUGAAAGAUGCUUCUUUUUUGAAGAGAAUAGAAAAUAAAGGAAUUUCGUCUACACGAACAAGAUGGUAAAGAAAAGGGGGCAUUGAUGGAUCAAUAUCUAUCAUUACAAAUAUACUUUUCAAAUCACCUUCAACUCAGUGGCUUUCUGUCAAGGAUAUAAUAUCAAAAACCUGAAGUACCACCACGAAGAGAAAUGUGAUAUAAAGUUGUAUCUUCCUAAUCUUCCUAAUGGCAUGAUUUUUUUUUUCUGUGGGAAAAAAUUGCGAAAAAUUGCCCCUUAAACGAGCUUAUUUUCAACUAUUACCUUCUGAGAUAAGAGCCUCCUCUGGAGGUUGAUUUAAGGAUCUAGAGAUAACAUGUUAGUUUUAGCAAUCUUCAUCGUAUAAUGUAUAAUUAGGAUGAGAUUGGGCAUCUUGAUGAAUCGAAACUAAGGUUUCCAAUCACUACCAUAUUGUCUCAACUCCUUAUGGCAUGCCAUAUUGACGCAUAAUGACAUGGCCGUAUCAUCUGGUUCGGUGAACCGUGAGCAGAUAUGGGGGUCAUAAUGUAUCUUGUACUGUACCAGCAUACAAACAGUACGAUAGCAUAUUUGAGAUAUUUUACAUUUUAUCCAUGGAUAAGCUUCCAUAUUAGCCAGGAAAUAUCCAUUUAAGGAUGUAAUUUCAUGGUUAGCCUAAGAGGCUUUUUUUUUUUUGUAUGGGCCUUUAGCUUGUUAUAACUUAUAAGUACCCGGAAAAAUGGUUACUGCAAUCUUCAGGGGAUCUAAUGGCUUGAAGAAAUUCUUAUGGAAAAUUGUCAUAAAUUUAUUCUUCAAAAAUGUAGUCAGGCAUUACGAGAAAAAUGUCAAGAGCCAAGAGGUGAAGAAUUAUGUCAUUCAUCUAUUUCUUAAUAAUGUACUCUCAUGGAUCAUUUAGAGAUGUGUGAUUUCAGCAUCCAAAUUGAUGAGGUUCUCUUUGGGGCCUUAUUUAGGCAUUUCUUGGAGAUGGAUCUAGUUAAUACUUACUUUUAUUUGCUUGGAGUAGCUUUGCUCUCACAAGGUUUGAGUUGAUUGAUAAACAAUGCUGAACUUUCAUUGGAGAUAACCCAAUUGUGCCCCAUUCCUUAUCCAAAAUUUGCAUAGUAUUACUUAUGUUCCUGGAUAUGGAUUUAUUUUGAAUUUCAAUUUGGAUCUAGAGACAACUAUAGAUAUUGAUGUAUUAUCUUGUACUGAUCCAGAUGCGAGGAUAUAAGUACCAAUAUGGAUGUCAACAUAGCAAAAAUAUGGUUUCUUUCUAUCUUAAUGACAUGUUUAAGUUUUUACAUUAUGUGAUUAGUUUUUUGUUUUGUGAUUUGUGUACGAACUCUCUUAGUAUGUUUUAUUUGAUUUAUCCCAUAAUAUUGGUUGUAUCCAGCUCAUUUAUGAAUUUAUUCAAAACAAACUCAGAUAUUUUACACAUCUGAUUUAUGCCCAGAAGUGUCUAAAGAAAAUACGUACACUGCUCAUUGAUUUUUAACUUUACGUAUAUUAAAUAAAUACAAAUAAUGCCUGUUAUAUAUAUAUAUAUAUAUAUAUAUAUAUAUAUAUAUNNNNNNNNNNNNNNNNNNNNUAUAUAUAUAUAUAUAUAUAUAUAUAUAUAUAUAUAUGUAUGUAUGUAUAUAUGUAUGUAUGUAUGUAUGUAUUAUGUAUGUAUGUAUGUAUUCAUGAUACUAUAUCAUCCUUCACUGGGUUUGCCAUAAGUUCUCGAUAUUUUACAAUUGAGUUUUAUGUCUACUGAUUGAAAUGUUUUGAUCAAUUGCUGAAAUUAGCAGGUUAUAGUGCUUCUUGCACUUUAGUCGACUAAGUAAUAAGCCCCGAGUUGAGUCAUUGUCAACCGAACUUAAGAAUAAGGAGGUCGAGGAGAGAGAAACAAUGUAGCCGCAAAGCCGAACUUUGUAAACCUUUAUUUCUUUCCUUUAAAGCUGAACUUUAAAGCCGAACUUAAGAAUAAGGAGACUCCAAUCUAAUUUUGUUUACAUCAUACACCUUUGUCCAUCUAAUGGAUGAAAAUAAUGGUAGUUAAUUAUAAAAGAUAAGGAUUUCACAUAGGUCAGUUGGGAGAGAAGCGGUUGGUGGAUGGGUGGAAAUAUCCUUAUAAAAGGUUUUUUCUGUGUAUAUACCCUUAUAAAUAUCUGAAAUUACAUGUAUAAACUCAUAAAUUUGUUAUUGACAUGAAUAUCCUUAUAAAUUAUUCUUUUUACAUGUAUAUCAUUCUAUAAAAUUGCAUAUAUACCCUUGAAAUUUGUUAUUUACAUGUAUACCCUUAUAAUUAUGGCUUUUUGCAUGUACACCAUUAUAAAUUACUUCUUUUUACAUUUAUGCCCUUAAUAAAGGUGGACAUGCUAAAAGAAAUAAUCUAUGAGGUUAUACACAUAAGUAGUAAAUUUGUAAACCUUUUCUUUUCCUUAUUUUCUUUCUUUCCUUUCUUUUCCUUUAUUCCCUUUUUUGGCACUUAUGUGUUUGCUUAGAUGCAAUAAGCUACUCGAAAAACUUACUUUUUCUAAUGGUGUGUUUUUUUGUUGCUUCUCCUUUAUAAGGAGAGAAGGAGAAGCUAGAAGCUAGGUUUCCUAGCUUCUCCUAAAAGCGCUUUUUAUCUUUUUCAUAUAGUAGUACUUUUCUGAUAAUGUUACCAAACAAUUAUUUUUCAGGAAAGUGUAUUUUUUCACUUUAUAUGCCAUAAAAUCUCUUUUUUAAGCAAUACCAAAUAUGCCCUGAGAAAAUCUUGUUUUCAAUUUUUUUAUUCUAACAAAAAAUGACAAAUUUAGAGAUUGAUUUCUAUAUCUCCAAAAAACAUGCUCCUUUGCCUGGAAAAGUCUUGUUUUUCUAUUUCUCUUCCAAAAAUUUCCUUGCAACACAACAUCUCUUGAGGGCAUUCGGAUCCUUUCUUUGCUAUGCCAUGCAGUUAACCUGGAAAUUAGAGGGGCUAGACAGCUUCCCUCCCUCUCUCUAAUGUGGGGCUCUGGACUUAUGAAUUUUGAAUCAUCUAUGAAAGUUAGAUUGAUGACAGUCUUUCAAUUAUGAUAGUUGGUUGAAAAGACUGCUAAAACUUUAUGAAUGAACUCUUAAAGAUACAGAAUAUUUGGUAAAUACCCCCUAAACUCAUAAAAAAGACUUCUGUGACUCGCUGGAACUAAUCAAGGUUAGAAUUUUGCCAGUUGAUGCCUAAUUGGGCUCUGUUUUCCUUAAAGACAAUCCAUAAUCUAAACUAUAUAUCAAUUGUAAGCUCAUGGAGAUUGGUGACAUAUUUCAAUAGUGAUUGAUAUCCAUGUCUGUGUUCUUAUCAACUAACUAACAGAGGAUUUGGAUAUGGAUCUAGGAUUAAGGUACCAAUAGUAUUACCUCAUCUGACUGGUACCGUACCAUUCCACAAAGAAAAUACUGAUCUAUGCAUGAACUGGGAUAUCCCGCUAGUCCUGCUUGGAAUUGGUUGGGACCCCGGUGUCAACCUAUUCGGCUGCUACCAGCUAGCACUCAAUGUGUCUUUGUUUAGAAAAGAAGAGAAAUGUGGCCAUCCCUGCUGCUCUCUUUUCUCUCAUCUUCAUUCACAGGAGGGCCUAAGGCGUAGGAGAGAGAGAGAGAGAGAGAGAAAAGGAGAGGAUACAUAAAGGAGGGAAAGGAGGAACGCUCAGCUGAGAAAUACAGAGAGACUUCCCUAGGAGUCAGGACAGUAGGGUCUUGGUACCAUACAAACUGGGGACCAAAAUACAGUGGUCUGCAUCGGGUUUUAAACCCUCGAUAUGGAUAUAACAAAAAUUUGACCUAUAUCCAAUCUGUUUUCAUCCUUAUUUGGUAAUUAGUCAUAUCAAUCAAUAUUCACAUGUGAUUGUUUGGUUUUGUUACAAAAAAUAUAAUUGUCUGUCGUUAUGAAAUUUGAAUAUAUUUAUUAUUAUUGCUUCUCUUCUUUCUAUGUGGUGGGUCUCCACAGAAAUUUGGAUGAUCACUAUGAAAUGAGUGAACGACUGUCUUUUAAUUGUGAUAGUUCGAAGAAAGGAUUUGUAAAACUUACAACUAAGUUAUUGACACAUACAUUUCUUAGCAAAGACUCCCUAGAUUCAUAAAAGAAACUCCAUAGAUUUUAUUAGGGCUGUAAAUUUUGCCACUUGAUGCCUAAAUGAGCCUCAUUUUGCUCGAGAAACACAAUCCACCAUCUAAUCUGCAUUAGUUGUGAGCAGACAUGGGAGUACAUCUUUCAGCAGUCCAAUUGACAUCAAUAUCCAUAUUCUUAUCCACUAACUAAAAGAGGAUUUGGAUAUGGACAUAACAAAUAUUCGGCCCCUGUCCUAUCUGUUUUCAUCCUUGUCAAUUAAUUUGUCAUAUAAAUGAAAAUCACUUGUAAUUAUUUAAUUUUGAACUAGAAAAAUAGCUAAAAUCCUUAUGAAAUUUAUAUGUAAAAUGUUGAACUAGAUUAUUUUUUGGAUAAUGCAAGAUGUCUUGACCAAUUUGGUUUUGACAGUCAUGAAAUUAUGAUUGUGCAUGAGUUUCUAUCCAUACACUUUUGGAGAUCAUGUCCUGACAGUGUUUUAAAAGUUACAAGAGUACAAGUUUCUAUUAUCCCUAGAGCAAUUUGAUCUAUGUGCAUUACCUUGACUUUAGUAGACUAGGUAGGCCGCUUCAUGCAGGUUUGGAUAGCGUCUGGGUCCAUGAUAAGCGACAACCAGCCCUUGCAUGUGAAAUUUAACUUAGAAAGGCCAUAACUUCCUCAAAUUCGAUUUGCAAGGUGUUACAUGACCAAAUGAUUAGGUCGGUUAGCACUUCAUUGAAUUAAAUGGGAAAAAACCCUUCACUAAUCGCCUUUGUCGUGGAUUUAAGCUUGUUUUCUGCCCCAAAACAUUUGUCAGACCUGGUUUACUAUAUCUAGUAAAGUUUGACUGAAGUUUAUUUUUCAAUCUAUAAGAACUUCAAGUAUGGUGUAGAAGGCAUAGUUGGUAUGUAAGGCAUCACAUGGUGUUCUGUUGGAAUUGCAUUUUUUGUAAUUUACAGCAAACCAUACUUACUGUUAGAGGAAUUGCUACUUUGAUCAGCUGAGGAAGUGAAUUCCAAUUAAGAGAGAUGAACCUUGUUAGCAUAAACAAAGGUGAUGCAGCCCCCUGCACCUGGGCCGCGAAAUAGAAUUAUAGCCAAACAAAUAGGAAAGGAUAACUGGAGGGAAGAUAAUGUGUCUUUCUGUCCCUUUCCUCUUCCUCUUUCUUUUGUUCACCUGACAAAAUAAAACCUAACAUACUAAAAAUUGUUAAUAUAGUAUUUCAGGUUAAGACACCAUGCCAUGCAAUUUGAACCCUCCAAAUUGAGAUUAGGGAAUCGAAUGUCAACCAUGCAAACAAACGAACACCAAAACUGCAAAUAAAAGUUCUAAAGACUAAAAUUCUGUGACCAAAUGUUAAGAAACCUGAUCAUAUUAAAAGACCAUUGUAGUCCUCAAAGGGGCUCUCUUAUGACAGUUUGUAAAAUUGCAAACAUAAGAACCUUACUUUCAAUUUUUCGUGGAAAUUACUUUUCUCUUUCAUGGCUUUUAGUUGGAGAUUCGAGCUAAUCAGAUUGAAGAAAGAGAUUACUUACCUUUUUGAUUGGAUGACAAUUUUUGAGGAUUUUGUUGAAGUUGACAGUUGGCAUCAUUCAAGUACAAGAACCUACCACUGGACAAGGUCACAAAGGUUGCAUGCCAUAAGAAAUAACAUUUUAGGUGGCUUAGGUGUUUAAGUAACAGAUGAUCUUAAGAAUUGCAGCUUAGUUAUGCCUCAAGAAUGGAUGCGUCUGUGUUAAUUGGCUACACAAUAUAAUUGAGUCCAGGAUUACAUGCGUUUAAGUAACCAAACAUGUGAAAAUAGGCAAAGGCAUUUAAUUAAAAAAAGCAGGUUUUAUGAAGUAGAGAGAUGUUGCCAGGUUAUUUUGUGCUUGUCUGGCACCUUUAAGAUUGAAUAUAUUUUUUUUAGUACGAUAUUAAGGUUGACAAUGUUACAUGAAUCAGAGAAUUCGAAUAUGAGAGGGGUCCUAAUUAUAACAUAGAUGAGAAUAAGUGGAUAGUUCAUAUAGCUAGGGUCAUGUUAGAAAUGAAUACAACCGUAGGGAACAUAUAGGACACAGCUUGAGGAUAAAAUGGUGGAGAAGCAGCUUAAUAGUGAUGGGCUUGUUCAUCAAUAAGCUGAGAAGUCCCUAGCAAGGUGAGCAAAUUAUAUUUCUGUUGAAUGCGGAAGCAGAGGAGCAGAAGAUAUCAGGUAAUAUAGAUAAAAGUUGUUAGAAAUGAUUUCAAAAUUUUGCUGUGGCAGCUGAUGGGAUUCUUAUUGAAAUGAACAUAUAGGAAGAAUACAAAUACUGAGAAAAGAUCUAUAAAAGCUGCCAGUAACUACAGAUACAGCUCUCGAAAUGAGUGGAUAAGAAGAUUCUGUAGACCUGACCACACGUGUGUAAGUUCAUGCAUGUUUUGCUGUGCUUACAUGUGCAGUGUUUGUCCAGCAUGAUUAUAAAUCAUAUCAAUUGCUGCACUCAUGCUAUAAUAUUAGUAGAGUUUCUUAUUAUUCAUCUGGAUCAUUUAUCAAUUAUUAAUUGUAAAGUCUCUUGUCAAUUGUUAAUGCUAUGUCUUCAUAAUAUAGGUUUCCUGCCAUUUGGAUUAAUUUAUUAUACUAUAUAAACAAAUUUAUCUAAGACCCGAAAUAUUUCUUAGCUUUUGCUUAAAGGCUUAAAUAAUUCUAUAUGCUUCAACGAUUUCUUUUAUCUUAAAAUGGUUAUAUUGCACUUAAGUGCUCCAUGUCGAAGCUAGUAUUACUUUUUAUGUAAUCAACUAUACAAAUUGAAGAGUCUGCCUGACCACUUCUGCAUUUCAAUGUACUUUUAUUACUCUUUUUUAUGAUUACUAUACUCCCCUUGAGAGGCAUAAACAAUACGCACACACAUACCCAAACACACUAGCAGACAUAUAAUAAUAUGAGAUGUUUGAUAUAUGUUUAUGCUGUAACAUCAUUACCUUUUACUAUCACUUGAUGUAGUAAUUCUGGCCUGUUAGUUUAUGUUAUUAAUGAGUUUGCAUAUUUCAUGUUGAUUGUUUGCUACUAUCACAACCCAGGACCCUGGACUUUGCUAGCCGUAAGAUAUUAUUUGGACUUCUUGGCCCUUAUCCAAGAUCUAUCCAUUGCAUAACUGAUGUGGGAUUAAGCACAUGCCCACACAGGUCCUCACAACUACUAUUUUUUGGUAUUUGUUGAUCUAGCAAGUCCAGCCUUUGUUGAUCAAUUUGUUAGUUUCUUUGCACCUUUGAGUGAUCUGAACUUUUUCAACUGGAUUUUUUUAAAAAAAAAACAAAAUCUUGGGGGCAUGACUGUUCCCUUAAUCAUGUUCAUCUUGAUAAGUAGGUCAUAGGAUAUCAUCAUAUGGGUGGGCCACCUUGGAUGUAUCUCAUGUAAAAUGUUUUUUUAUGGCAAUUUUUAAUUGUUAACUGAAUCUACAAUUGUUUAUUUCUUGUGAUAUAGAGGAAAUGCAUGCUGUGUUAAUAUUGUUGUUUCAUUUAUCUUCUUAGAAAAAUUAGUUUGAGGUUAAAGAUCGUAAUAAUCACUCAUGGGCUAUUUGUCAAAGAAGAUUGCCAUCUACAUUGACGUAAAAGAACUUGAUACUUUUUUGCUUGGUGUGCUCCCUGCUCUACGGAAAUGUUUUUUCACAAUAUGGAAAAUUCCAGUGGUCCAAUUAUUUACAUAAACUGGAGUUUAUAUCAAAAUUUAUAAAGGUGGAGCAAGACAUUCACCCAGUUUCUCAUAACCAUUAUUCACCAUCAAUCCCAUCACAAUCACCUCCAUCCUCCCUGGUUCUAUAUAUAUCUUCUCCUCUAACAAAUAUUUUCCUAUGCUUAGCAUACCCAUGAAACUUAUGCACUGAAUGCCAAUCAAACUCGUUUACUUUCUGGAUAACCAAUGUCAUGCAUCUAAACACACACUCAGGUAUGGCUGUUGUUGCAUUUAUUCAGCUUUGGUUGAAUGCAAUGGAAAAUGAAGUAGAAUUUGCAACUCCCUAGUUCUCAUGAUAUUCUGACUCUAAAAAUAUUAUUUGUUUUGUUAAUGAUCCAUGAAUCAUGUUGCCUGCUGUGCAGAGACUAUGGAACUUCUCGACUGGUAAAUUUUUGAAGACAUAUACUGGGCAUGCCAAUCUGAGAUAUUGCAUUCCAGCCACAUUUUCCAUAACAAAUGGGAAGUACAUUGUUAGUGGUUCAGAGGAUAACUGUGUAUACUUGUGGGAGCUUCAGAGCAGGAAGGUGGUUCAGAAACUGGAAGGUCAUACAGACACUGUUAUUGCUGUUUCUUGUCACCCCUCAGAGAACAUGAUUGCGUCAGGUGCACUCGAAAAGGAUAAGACUGUGAAGAUAUGGGUUCAGAAGGGUGAAGAUCAAACGGAAGCCUGAUUGCACACAUUGCUAACUCUUUCCUAAUGUUGUAACUUGCUCUGUAUUAAUCAAGAGUUUUCUUUAAUCUAGGUUAUUUUCUUUGAGUGAUAUUGUCCUGCCCUUAUUUUGGUGACAUUCAAGUAGGAACUCCUGGCUCAAGUUUUCUGUUUUGAAGCUAUUAUGGGAGCGAAAUAGCUGAUAGAUACCUUUUCACCAGUGCUAGAGCUCAGAGUAGACCAAAAGAAAUAAAAGAAACAGGUAUUGCUGAUGCUAACAUAUCCCCUCACUGUUCAUCCAUUGUUAGUACAUAAUCAUGUGAAGACUCUUAACCCACAACACUUGGAUGGAAUGGGAGCUUUUUCUUUCUUGAUCUUUGCUUUAGCCAUGCUGCAUGUUAUCUGAUGAAGUAUGUUAAUAUAAUAAAAACUCAGGUACGAGAUCUUAAUAAUUAAAUUGUUUCCUUGAUAUUUCCAAUCAAUAACCGUAACCUCAAUAUGGAUUUGUUCACUUUCUCUGAGAACAAUUUCGUAUGCUUUAUUUAUUUAUUUAUUUUUUUUUUGUUAAAUUAAACAACUUGAGAAUUUGAGAGUCACCUUGCAGUAUACGAUGAACUCCCAUCCAAUGAGCACAAGUAGGGCAAGCACCCGAAAUCAAUUGAAAUGUCCAUUAUUUUUGAGAUGAAACUGAAAUGUCCAUUAGUAAACAUAGUGACUGCUUUGGAUUCUUAUUGGAUGAGCAUGUGGGCUGUGUUUUCUAUUUGUCUAUAACCAUGCGAUAGUCUCAACUCCAUCUUAUUGGUGCCCAACUUGGCCGCUAUAGCUUCUGCUAAUUAAUUAACGUGCGUAUGCCCCCUCCCAUGGGAUCAUGGGUAAUUGAUAAUCUUUUAUGAUAUUAGAAAUGAACUUAUAAUCAUAAUUUCAUAAGAAAUAAAUUAUAAAUUUUCUGUUGAGAUUUAUAUUUAUUAUAUUUACAUCCAAUAACUUGUAAAAUCUACACCUACACCUAGUUUAAUUAACAGUGUUAUGUGACUUAAGAUUAUUUUGGUCAUUUUUGAUUUUUUUCUUUUUGAUAUGGCAUUUGGGUUUCAUUUAAGAUUAACGGUUUGAGUAAUGUUUUGUUAAGUUAUGAGUUAAAAUAUUUUGGAAAAAAUAAACCUUAUUGGGGUAAGAUAUAGGAUAUGUUAGGUUGCACCGUUGAUGUGCCCUAUCAGCCCAAUUUUUGUUAUUUAGAAUUUAAUCUUUGCGGCUACGCCCUCUUGAACUCAUGCGAGAUUUCAAUAAAGAGCAAUACAUGGAAAUACCCCAUAUAUCUGCACUGCUAAAAUGAUGAGAUGAUGCAUGCUUGCGGGUGCAGAUGGUAGAGGAGUUGGGGUAGUAGUAGUCGUGCUAGUAGAUGUUCCUAAAAGAUUUAGAUACUCUUGCCAUUGGGAACCGGUCAAACCCACAUGCCGAAUUUAUGGCGGUCGUUGGAGAUCUUGACUUGUAUGCCAUCCAAAUCGGAAUCGGAUAAGGGUCAUCGAGCGCCUUCAUAGAGAGAAUGGUCGAUAUCAAGAUGGAGCUCGGGGCUUUUGUGGAGUCAGUUGGCUGCAGAAAAAGUUGUUGACACCCAAUGUAAAGUGGUAGAGAUGGAGGCAGAGCUGAGAGGAGCCCAAGUUCGGACAAAAGAGGCGGUGCUCCGGGCUUUUGAAAUUAGGAGGGAGCUGCAGAUCGCUCUCCAUCAAGCUGCAGAGGCAGAGGGGAAGGCCACUAUUGUGAUGGAGUGUGAACCUUCGGCCGGAUUUAAGUGGGACGUUAUAAAGUCCUCGUAGGGACUGCUCGGCUGAGGUCGCCUCCUUAUUGAAGGAGUGUGAUGCAAGGUGAAGGUCAUACUCUUUCUAAAUGUUGUAGUUGACAAGGAUCUAACUAUCCUCAAGUUAUUCUUGGAAGAGGAGGAAGCAUUGCCUUGAGGGAGCGUGACUCUCCAAUCAACAACCUCUUCACCCAAUCUAUCUGGUUUGUAGAGUCAGUAAUGUUUGAGUUUAUCUCCUUUUGUGCGGUCCUUUGGCUAUUAAGGUGACAUUAUUUUGUAAUUACAACAAGGAAUGGAAACAAUUUUGGCUUAUUUUUUGUUGCCUCAUUUUUGCUCGGGCUUGUGUGUGAGAAUGUCUAUCAAUCCGCUAAGUAGCAUAGGUUAGCUUUGCAUGCAAUCAUCCUGAUCAAUGUUUAGGUUGGUGCUUUCGGGGGCCAAAGAAUUGAACCAUCCUUAGUAGAUCAUAUGGGCCUUGUCCUCGUUCUCAACUAUGCUCGGAUGAAGCCAACGACUUGCACUUAUUCGGAGGAACAUCCAAGAAGUGGAUGAAUUCAUUGACAAGUUAUGGGGGCCUUGCCCCCUAUUCCUAGCCACUCCUGGCCAAUGCUUGAGAUUUGAAACUCUUUGAAAAACUCUUUCAUAGAUUUGGUGAGCUUAUUACAGGGUCGCAAUGGCCACGUACCUUGAGCUACUAAGAGUCGAGAGUCGCGUUAUAGUUAGCAAGAGCUUAUUGCAUUCACUUGAAGGGGGAAUUUAGUCAACUUCACAAUAGUGCAGAAGUCUCCACAUAGGCUAUCUCAUCCUUGAGAGAUCGAUAGGCUCACUAGAUCUUUGAUGCAAGGGCCAACUUAGGACAGAUGUGUCACCUUCUUGGGGUUGCAAACUGGCUCGCCCAACUUGCACACUCGGGCCGUCCCGAUUUUGAGGGAUUGGUUAGCUCACCAGAUCUUUGAUGUGAGAGCCAAUUCAAGAUGGAGGUGUUGCCUCCUUGAUGCUGUAGAAUGGCUCGCCUGACCAUGCACUCGAGCCGUCUCGACCUUAGAGGGUCGAUUAGCUUACCAAAUCUUCGACAUGAGGGUCGAUUCAAGAUGGAGGUGUUGCUUUCUCAGGGUCGUAGAAUAGCUUGCCCGACCUAUGCACCCGAAUCAUCCCAACCUUGAGGGGUCGGUUGGUUCACCAGAUCUUCAACACGAGGGUCAGUUCAGGAUGGAGGUGUUACCUUCUCAGGGCCAUAGAAUGGCUCACCCAUCUUGUGCACCCAGGCUGUCUCGACUUUGAGGGGUUGGUUUUCAAUUUGCUGCUUAGGAGCAAACAACUCUCGCCUAGUGUUUCGAUCUUGUGGGUGGUCAAUGAAGUAUCUGAGCUGCUGCAGUCUUCAGUAUCAUUUCCGAAGUCUUGGGAGAAUUUGUAGAAUUUACUCUUAUCCUUCUUGGCAGCUUUCCUCAUCUUCCGAGGUCAUUUGACCCAACCUUGAUUCUUGAUCUUUAUUAGGAUCUACGUUUGAGAGACAUUAAGAGGGUUUACCUCUCGAACUAUCGAGGUGGACUCUUCGAUCAAUGGAGACCUCGACUGCCCAUCUUUUGCUUCUUUUGGACUCAUUUUUGUCCUUCCGAGCCCACUUGUCCUUCUUUCCGAACUUCUUCCUGUCUGACUCUCAUCGAUCUAUCAUAGGUUCUUUUGUAUUUAUAUAUUUCUCAGCUCUAGCAAGAAGCUCCGAUUGACUUCUUGGAAACUUCUUCUCAAGGGAGAAGAGGAGUUGAGAGGUCUUCGGCUUGCAAUUUAAUAUGGACACCGUGACCAAAUGAUCCAAGUCACCCACUUCCAAAGUCGCGAUGCUAAAGCGAUUGACAUAGUUAUGAAGGGACUCUCCAUCCUGCUACUUGAUGGCGAGCAGGCACUCCACGCCUUUUCUUUAUCGGUGUUGUUGAUGAUGACGUGAGCCACGAAUAGUCAACUGAACUGUCCAAAGGAAUGGAUCGAGUUCAGCUGCAGCCUAGUGUACCACAAUCUAUCCCCUUUCCAGAGAGUAGCUGGGAAGGCUCGGCAAAGCACUACGCAAUGGCUUCAUGAGGGCUCUAAAACUUUCCAGGUGGUCCAAAGGGUCAGUAUUCUUGUCGUAGAUCUCUAGUUGGGGCAACUUAAAUUGAGGAGGAAGGGGUUCCUCCAUUAUAAUAAAGGAUUGGUUGAAAAGUCAACUGCAUGCUCGAGCUCGGUGUUAUAGCCUCUUAAGGCCUCAAGAUGUCGAUCCAUCUUCUCCAAGCUAUGAUUGAGGUCGACAUCCUUUCUGAAUAUUCUCUCCGAACGGUGGUGAGAUGAACAUCCUAGCGUCGAUCCCUCUUGAGACUAUGACUCAGAGACUGAUGCCACCUCCCUUGCCUUGUACUCCAUGGAUGAGAAUAGUGACUGUGUUGAGCCCAUCCUGGACUCCGAGGAUGUGAGUGAUGAUUUAGUUGCUUUUGGUCCUCCUGAUCUCCUGGUGCAUGACUCUGCUGCGGCAGUUGCUGUUGUUGGUGGUUGGCGAUCAGCUGCUGUAGUGGAUGGCGGUGGUAAGCAUCUAAAUCUACUACAUGAGUAGAUGAAACUUCUCAGCAGUGACCGAUGUGUCAAAUUGUGCCUCCUACUGAGUAAGGAGCCCUUUAAGGGCUCUGUAAAGAGUUGUUGGACCUAAGGGCUACAUCUUGCUGGUCGGUUGCAGUCGUUGUCUGGGUUCUCCUUGAUUUCAUGAUUGUUGUCAUCCGCUUCGUCGAUCAUGCCUCCAAAGAUGGGAUCAAGACUUUUCUUUUAGCACCAACCUGUUGCCGUUAGAAAUUGGUUCGACCAAGGCAUCGAGUUAUUGGUGGUCAUUGAAGAUCCGACUCGUUUACUAUUCAGAUCAGAGAGAUUGGAUAGGACAGCUGCAUGCCUUUGCGAUGAUGCUCUGGUGGAGUUGGAUGGCGGAGAAACGGCUUCGAACGGUAAUCUGACGCUAGCUCUGACAUUAAACAACAAAAAUAAAUAAGUCCAUGCACUAAAGCAUAUGCAACACCUACGUCAGACAUAAUUCUCCAACACCUAAGUCAGACAUAAUUCUCAGAGAACAGGAGGAGACCAUAGAGAGGCAGAGAGGCAGUAUAAGAGGGUCAAAAGAGAAUUUACCUGAAGGGUCUUCGAGAAUGCAAACAAUAUAUAGGCGAGGACUGAAACCCAUUGCCAAGUAGUUUGGGGCUAUCUGUAAACUGCAUUUUUUAGUAGCAGAAUUUGCUCAGAUAUCAUAUUUGUUAAGAGAUAGUUAGUGAUACGGCCGAGUUGUUGCAAACCAUAGUGAGAGUUAGAGAUACAGAGGACUCUUUACAUGCAUGCUCUUUGGAUGGGCCAGUGACAAGCUUUGAAUGGCCACCCCAUAGGCUAGAUGGCAAGUUUACGUUGAUCGGUUUACCUUAGAGGCAUAAGAUGCUAACAGUGGUUUGCGGACCGUGGUCCGGCUGUAGUAGUCUUCAUCACUACUGUUAGGAAAAGUUUUAUUUGAAUGAUUGACUACCAGUGUGAAAGUAAAUAUUCUCAGGCCAAGUAACCUUUUCUUCACUUUUAAGCCAAAAGCUAAAAGUUAAAUGGCACGUGAAGAAAAACGACUCCAAUAUGAACUCAUAAGUCGUUCUAUGUCACGGUAUGUUGAAUGGACUGGUUGAAUUGAAAUGUGGCAGCAAAUUUAAUCAUGUUUAUAAAUGUUAAUUUCUCAGCUUUCCCAUGAUGCUGGGAAUUGUUUAUUACUCCCACUGUUGCUUGACCACAAAUGUAGAAUUAGCAAAAGAGAAAUCAAACCUGGGAAGAAAAGUUUUAUUGUUAAUUUACUAACCAACAACAAUAAUAUUAGUUAGCAAGCCUACAAAAUGAAAUCUUCCGGUGGCUAUCCGUGUGGAGGAUCAAAUCGUGCUUGCCCACCCGUGUAGCCCAAAAUCAAAAAGGCCAUAGCAUUAAGGGGGACAUGGACAAACAAAAAAAGGUUGGUGAAGAAAUUUGACAGCAUGCCUUGCUGUCCUAUCUUACGUAAAGGUCCUUACGUAACCUAUCCUACGUCCGCAAACACUCAUCACUGAUACCAUCGUUAUUCACGGUUUGAUAUUAAUUAGCUUUUCUCAAGGUGAAGCAAUGCUGUACACCCACUUACAUAGCCUUAAAAACUAAAUAGAGUUUCUGUCUCAAGCAAAAUAUUGACUAGAUAUAUAUUUGUCUUAGUACCAGAUACUCACUGAUACAACGGACUUGCAAUCUUGGUCCUUAAUAGUUCGGCUGAUGCAAAUUAACAGUAUGAUAUACUUAAAUACUAAGCAACAGGCAGGAGAUGUAGUGGUAGAGGAAGAAAUAAGAUAGGCGAUGGUAUAUCAUUAUCAUAAUUUGGCCAACUUGACAGGUUAGCUAUAUUGCUUUUUCCUUCUCUUUUCAUGUUUGCUUCUCAGUAGAUAUGAUUGGUUUGAAAAAAAGAUACAAAAAGAAAUAAGCAUUCAGGUGUCCAAGAGCAAUGGAUGAACAACAUGAAUUAAUCUGAUCUGCGGAAUUUGUUAUCCAAGUAAUCACAGUUUCUGAAUCCUCCUGUAAAGCUAUAUUAUUUGCCCUCGGAAUAGAAGUGGCACCUUUCUUUGCCCUUCUCAACUCGGUUAAAAGGAAAACCAGUUAUAUUGCUCAAAUCUUUGUUGACAUGCUUGUGUUAGUAUAUAUAAAUCAUGGGCGACAUUAAUGAAGUUCGUAUGACCUGAAGCUUCUGACGCAGCGCACUUCUUUCUACCUCUCAAGGUACGGUAAAGAAGCACGCCUAUCGAGCCCCAACCGGUAUUUUGGCACCGUAUCUCGUGGCCAUUAAGUCCAACGAGCAAUUUCCAUCAUAAUUUCUUAGUGGAAUUUAUGUUCCACUCAUCAUUUUUUAUUAUUUUAUGAGUAGAUUUAGAAGUCAAUAAGCUCUUAAUUUAUGUAAGGAACGUGAUUAACAUUCUAGGGAGGAGAGCAUUAGGGUGAACUAGUUCUUGCCACUGGUUGGGGAGUUCACUCGCUGUCCUCCUGCUGCUCGCCUGAAACUGUGUCCAAAGUUGACGAAAGUAUCCGGGCUUCCGCCUCCCAGCCAAAGAGAACAUUGUUGUUUCUUGAUGCUGGUGGAGCCCUUCCUCAUUGGGCACUGAAGACGAAUGGAUGAUAAGGAAAUGAGAAAAGGUUUGCCUUCCAAGAGAAUUUCAUCAUUCGGGCAAAAAAGUACUGUUAACAAUUGUAAUGGGCUAGUGGAUGGCAGGCUGCAUUCCAUCCACUUCCAAUGAAAGUAAAAUUAUAAAAAGCCAGCAGGAUGUCGACCUUCAGAAAAGGACUAUUUUCGUAUUUAGUCCAAGUAUGAGGACUUAAGUACAAAAAUUCCAUUGACACGGAUAGAGACCGCAUGAACAGGAAAAGAGAGAGAAGAAACGUUCACACGAGGAAAGGGUUCUCUGGAACUUUAGGACGAUAUAAGAGUCGACCGAGCCGUGUUUUGUUCUUCAUCAGGAGGAGGUGUUCCGCCGUCUGCUGGAUGUCUGGUUAUGUCUAGCCCCUACUUUUCAAACAGCUUUGAGACCUUGAUCAGUAUAGAUUUGUUUCCUUUUUCCCCGAAAGAAGCUGGAGACUUCUGAACUGAUCAUGGAUCUUCGAGUUCAGUAGAUCUGAAUCAAUUUCAUCUUGAGUUUCGGUAAAAUAUAUAUAAUAGGUUUAUAUAGCUCUUUAUUAUGAUCGAUGUGGGUUAUUUCUGUUUCAUCCUUUUCUUGUCUGUACAUAAGAGGUGUUGAAUUCUCUUUAUUAUGAUGCGAGUCAAUUUUUUUCAUUAACAAAUGAGUCUCAAUUGCUUUAGAUCGGAAACUGGUUUGAUGUCUCCUGAUUUCUUCUUCUUUGUUUUCUGAGAAAAGGUUUGUUCCCAGAAUACUAUUUCUGUUGGAUCUAGUAGUCAUCGUUUGACAAGAUAUUCUUUUUGCUCAGAAACAAAACAUAAUAUCACACCCAUGUAUUGUCUUCUGUUGAACUAAUCCAUUAAAAUAGAGGCCCUUUUCCUCGUUCCAUCUCGGUCUUCAAAGAUUUGAUUAGCUUGAAGAAUUUGGAUUUGCAACAGUACUGGUCUUUCAUUGAUUAUUUACUUCACCGACUCAUUUCUUUUGUAAGCUUAACAUGGGUUUUCUUUCAGGAUCUCGAUGUCUUUCUAGCGGGGUGAGAUUAAAUGAAAUGGAAAUAUCUGAAAAUAAAUGGUCUUCAGAACUUGUAAGCCCCAUUAUUAUCAAACUGAAACUACAAAAGGUUUACCGUCUGAUAUUUAUGUAACGUUUUCUUUUGAGAACAAGAUCUUAAUUUGAAAGCUCUAUCGGUGCAAUCUAUAGGUAAUGGAUGAGUCUAGCUUCAUUUACGAAUGUGACAUUAGCUCAUUCAAUGAGUUUACUCCACAACGAGUAGCUCCGGCACUUGUGGGAGGCUUCCAGCAACCCCUCUCCUCAGAGAGCUAUACUUCUUACCCUCCCUUCAAUCCGGUGGAGACUCCCUCUCGGAUAGGCUUAAUCGAAAGACCGAAAAAGAUACAGAAGAUCAAUAGCUGGAACUCUCGUACCACCGAGCAGAAUCCAACUUUGGGCCCCGAUGCCUCUUCAGCAGACUCUCUUUUGUUUCGCAAUUCAAAUUCUCCUAAUGAUGAACUUAGAAGAGCAUCAGCAUCCCAAGAAAAUAUGAGAGCUCUAGUUUCUAAUGGUUCAGCACAAGAUUACGAAACACUUGUUCAACAGGGAUCAAAGAUGAUAAAGACGGGAUCAAUGCCAUCUCAAGCUCAUGAUGAGCACGUAAUUGCGGAGAGAAAGCGGAGGGAGAAGCUCAGCCAGAGAUUUAUUGAACUUUCUGCAGUUAUCCCUGGUCUUAAGAAGGUAGUUGGACUAAAUUAAGUUUCUCAUCCUAUCAUUUUGCAUUAGCUGCUUCCAUUGCAAAUGCAUUCAGUCGUUAUGUUGAUGAAUGUCUUGUAAGCAUACUUUCAAUGUUUUAACUAUAAUUUUUAUGGGUGUCAGAAACCUGUUUUCAUAGUAUUAGCUGAAUAAGAAACAUUUGGAAAUAUUUAUCUGGAAAAAAAAAGAGGGAAAUAUUCGAGGAUUAUACUGGAGAUCAAGAUGAUAAUAAUGAAAGAAGGUGCUUAAUUGUCCCAUUGUGGAGGAGCAUGAUCUCCUAAUCUAUCUUGGAACACGUUUUCUUCUAAGCAUUUCUUCUGCUGUCAAAGACCCACAAGAAUUUUGAGAUCAUAACUUGCUCUAUGCCCCUUAAGGGAGAAAAAUGAAUAAUGUGAUAUUGUAAAAAAGGUUAUAAAUACAAAAGGCUCCCAAGAAAUUGUUGAAUUCCUUUAAUGAUCCCUUAAUCCUCUUGCAAGCAUCUAUGUCAAUUCACAUGAAAUUGUUUCUUACAGUCAAGCAAUCUCCUCUUUCUUUUAUUGCAUGUAGAAAAUCCUCUAUUGCACAAAUACACAGAGAAGUUUGAAGUUUAAUUACUCUUCUAUUUUCUUUUCAAGUCCAUCUUUGAUCAUUGUGCCCUCUAUAUCCAAGUUGUCUAUAGAAGUUUUUCCCGGAAAAAGGGGUAAUCCAUAGAAAACACUUCAUAAGAAAUCACACAGGAACUGACCUCGACUAUGACAAUAUCAUUUGGAUUUCAAAAAAAAAUAAUGUCAAUAACAUUAGAACCUUUCAAAAACUAAAAAUGAUUCAGUUCUUGCUUAAAAUAAUUUAGAUCUUUUCAGUUGGCAUGUGUUAGUCUUGUUUACCCAACUUUCAGAGGGACAAGGCUUCUGUUCUUGAAGAGGCAGCCAAGUAUGUUAAACAACUCGAAGCGAGGGUGAAGACCAUCGAAGACCAGACUGCGAAGAGGACUGUCGAGUCCGUGGUCCUCGUCAGGAAGUCUAAGCUCUCUGCCGAUGCCGAUGGUUCAUCCUCCAGUGGGUGCCCGGCAGAAAAACCUCUUCCUGACAUUGAAGCGAUGCUUUCCGAGAAGACAGUCCUCAUAAGGAUCCACUGCAAGAACCACAGAGGAGUAUUGGCGAGGUUGGUCUCCGAGAUUGAGAACGUCCAUCUCACAGUCACUAAUGCUAGCGUCAUGCCCUUCCCCAGAUCCUCUAUCCAUAUAACAAUGACUGCAAAGGCAAGUUAUUCUCAGUUCCCUAUCCAGAAGAAUCGAAUGGACUUACGAACAUGAGCCCCAUAUUAGUUGAAUGCUUUCAGUUUUAUUGGCAGUAUCUUCAUCUUAGCCCCAUAUCAAAAUUUUCAAUUUUUAAUUUUAAAUUCUAAAUUUUGAAUUCUAAAUUUUAAAUAGCAUAAAUUUAGGAUUGAUCUUAGAGAUCUAUUAAUUUUUUCUUUAUUAUCCUCAUUGUAAUCUCUUGUUUAAAUAUACAUAAGUUUAAAUAUACAUAAUUACUGCCUCAUAAGAUAGGCAGAAAAAUUUCUUCACAAUAUUUUCUUUUCCAUAUAUUUUUAUUUUCCUACAAGUUUUUAUUCUCGAUAUCUCUCUUAAAUGGUUACAGCCAUACAAUAGGUAGGAAUCCAGUUCUUGAGAGGGUUAUGCACCUGAAAAGCUGGCUGCAGUGAAGAUUGGAUGAGAUGGUGUUAUGGAACAAGCUGCUCAUACCUGUGCUUCUUUUGUUGGUGCAGGUUGAGGAGGAGUUCUCCAUGGCAUUGGGGGAACUUGUGAGGAAGCUGAACUCAGCUUUGAGCUAGUUCGUGUUAAGAAAGAGCAGCUGAACAUAAUGGUUGCCUCGUUUAUAUAUGUUCGUAGUACUUCAGGAACUCCUUCGUCUUCUAAGAGCAAAGCCAUGCACUAGCAAUCCAUCACCACUAGUUUUUGCUGCAUGGGUUCUUCCUCCACCUUUCCUCCUCUCCCAACAGCUGCAUUAAGAAUGGUAUCAUGAUGCUUGGUAUUGAGCUACAUAUAAAGACUUGUGUCUGACGUACGUUGCUGCCCUUUUAGGGGGCACCAGGCAUAAUUUCUCUUUCGUAUUGUAUUCCUCCUUUGGGAAUGGGAUAUGUAAAGAAACACCUAACUCUGUGGUUGUUCGAUGGCACUUGUUUGGACCUGAAAAGAAAUGUGGUUGGGUAUGGUGUAAGGUUCGACAGGAUCGUAUGAUAUCUUGUGACAAUCUUUAACGUAUAUAGUUUGUGAUGCACGUUUCCUACUUUUCUUUUUUAUAUUAUUGACACUCUGGCUCGAGACCGAGUUUGAUGAAUUUGGUGAACGUGACAGCUUGCAACUCCUACGGUGGUCCGAGGGAAGGUUGGCUGAGGAUAUCAUCAAUAGUAUAUGAUGAUAUGUUUGAUUAUUUUUAGCGUUUUACUAUUAGUGCGCCAAUAUNNNNNNNNNNNNNNNNNNNNNNNNNNNNNNNNNNNNNNNNNNNNNNNNNNNNNNNNNNNNNNNNNNNNNNNNNNNNNNNNNNNNNNNNNNNNNNNNNNNNNNNNNNNNNNNNNNNNNNNNNNNNNNNNNNNNNNNNNNNNNNNNNNNNNNNNNNNNNNNNNNNNNNNNNNNNNNNNNNNNNNNNNNNNNNNNNNNNNNNNNNNNNNNNNNNNNNNNNNNNNNNNNNNNNNNNNNNNNNNNNNNNNNNNNNNNNNNNNNNNNNNNNNNNNNNNNNNNNNNNNNNNNNNNNNNNNNNNNNNNNNNNNNNNNNNNNNNNNNNGUGGAUCCUCUCCAAUAUUAUACGGACAUUGGAGUUCUAAUUUUUGCAUAUGACAUUUGUGCUCCUACCCAGAACAUUUUAUUUGGAUAAGUCAUCUAUUAUAUUAUUUUUUAUUUUUUUAAAGUUUAUCAUUUCACUGGUUUGAUACGUAUAUGUGUGUGUGUGUAUGUAUAUGUAUGUAUAAAUGUAUAAACAUACGUAUAUAUAUGUGUGUAUAUAUAAUUGAGCAGGUUACUCUCCAGCAUGAUAAUAAUAACAACUAUUGAGCAAGAUAAAUGGCUUGAAUGGUGUUAUGCGAUGGAGAUAUAAGGAGGUUAUCGCAUGCAAAUACAUGUAGUGAAUCUAAAUGAUGGGUAAUGCUAGAAAUCACAAAAGAUAUUCAUAUAUGUGAUUUGCACACAAUCUGAAUAGUGACGUGUUCAUUAUAUGGAGCACAAUAUUUAGAAGGGUACUAAUGGCUCGCAAUGAAUGUAGUGUAGAUGACCAAUCUCAACUCAACUAGUUAGCAUCUUUAUCCUCUUGGGAGAGGUCUAGGGUUUCAAAUCUUGAAGGUUGUUUUUUCAUCCUUUUUUAAGAAAAGAAAAAAAAAUCAAAUCUAGAUUAUUGGCAUCUAGCACCAGAUGACUACAAAGCUAGCGAGCACCCUCAUUUGGUUAGCAAAUUAAUGUAAGAUGGUUAUACGCAAAAGAGCAAAAAUGUUGUGGAUAACGUAGGUCCGGGUUUGGUAUGAGGAGAUGCCAUUGUGGUCAAUAAACUAGGGACGAAGAAAUUAAGAAUGGUUUCACGCAAUAAAGUUUUGGCCAAGUUACUCGUCCGCUUGAUCAAUCAGAAAGAAAAUGGAUGAUUGAGAUCAAGAGGAUAGAGGCCUUUCAGACGGAUAAUAUUUGGAAUAAACUGUUGAUCAGACGAGAUGUUAAUGGCCUUGCUGAUGAUUAAGUAAAAAAAUGGCAUGGAGAAACGAGUAGAAGGUAAAAACCGAUUGAUGGUUGGUUGUAGUCAUGAAUACCCAGAUAUACGUCUAAUAGAGCACGAAUCCUCUGCAACGCAUUGUUUGUGCUGCAAAAUGCCAUGGCAAAAAUGGUGGGAGAGAUAACUAGAACCUCUGUGGUGAAUAGUUUCUCUCUCUCUCUCUCUCUCUCUCUUGAGAGCCCAUCCUUUUUAUCAAAUAAGAUGACUUUACAUGCCAUAUAUAGUGCAUCGCUGUUGAUAGCUGCCAAUUUCUUGAUGACGGCCAUUGAGUAGUACACAACACUCUAUGUUUGCACCACGGAGGGUGCUAAGUCUAUCUAACAUGGAAUAGAAACACAUCUUUAAGCUCAAGGCACAAUAGCGGCUGCUUGAACAUGCUACUGAGACAUUCGGACUAUGGUAUGAGGGGGGAUGGCCGUUCAAGCUAAGCAUGUGUAUCGUAAGGCCAACGGAUCUACGGAUUGGGUAGCCUCUUAUAUGGCUAAUCAUUCUAGGGAGACCCUGUGGCUGGGGGAGGAGGACUUACCCGGAGUGCUCCGAAAAUUGUUAUCUUUUGACUUCUUUAGGUGUAUCCAUACCCGCCAUGUAUGAUACAUCCGCUUCAGCAAAAAAAAAAAAAACUGCCAUUGCGCUCUCUCUCAUAUCCAAGCACGUCGAUCCACGUGCACACUAUAUAUCUAGUAAAGUAACAUAUAUAUUAAGAGUAAUUAAUGGAUUUUCUCACUUUCUCGGAAACAUGGUGGUGUAAGCUUUCAAACAAUUGCAGGGAGAAUUCAAACUCAUGUAUAUUAACACGUUUCAAAUGGCUUCAUCUGAUUGUUGAUUUAUCUCCAUCUAGAAAGAUAUUGAAUGAUUUUGUCGGACUUCUUGUCUUAUAUAGUCACAUUUUGGUGUGCACGCGUGCCAUUUUAUGCGGUGGAAUCAUCUUUCAGAUUAUUCACAAAUUUUUUAAAAAAAUCAACAAUGUCGUUGAUUAGACAAGCAUAUCAGUAAAAAUCUGAAACAUUGCCCUUAAACAUGAACGUGUCAUAUUCGUAAUCAUAGCUAAAUCAAAGAUAUUUAUUGGAAAGUAAUUUGUUACUAAAAGAAAUGGAAAGCUGACUAGAUAUGAAAGAGGUGGCUAACCUAGACCACGUCACAUGCUUCAUGUACCGGCAUGUGUGGGCGAACAUCAAUCGAUUGGUCCUGUGAUGCCGAAUUGACAGGCUCAUUGCCCAAUUCAUGAGUUGAGUAAAAUAAUAGUAAUAAAAAUAGUAACUUCAUUAAAAAAUUAAAUUAUAUUUAAAUAAUUUUAGAAUAAAAAAAAAGGAUUUGAAAAGAACUUCAAUUUGAUCGUUUUUUUCGAUAAAAAAGAUCUAAUCCAUUUUGAGGUGAACGAUCUGGUAAUACCUUUCACUUAUUUUUGUUCGUGCUUAGGUUCCGUUUUAUAUAAAUUCUCUUUCCCUCUGCAUGACUAGCACUAUUCUAUAAUGGAGCUGACCACGGGCCAAGCCUCGAGCUUAAACUAUAUUUAUUUUCAACCAAUCUUUAGAUCAAAUUUAUUUAAAAUUUGAUAUUUUCUAUGCCUAAGCCUAACCCAUAAUCAAUUCUAUUCCAUAAUAAAAAAAUAGAUAAAUUAAUGAAUUAUAAAUGUCAAAUUUUCACUAAUGAAUUCUUUAAUAGAGUGAUAUUCAUAUUUAAUUAGCAAUUUUCUAAGCAAUUGUUUUUUUUAUUAUUUUGGUACAUCGGCGACUCACACACAAUGGGUAUGGGUGCCGCCCAUAAAAUCAGAAAAUAGAAAAAAUUGCAAGGAAGACGGAACAGAGACAUGGUUCUUCCAGAUAAAAUAUCUGGAGUGGUGAGCCGUAUAGAACGCCACCCAAUCCGCAGCACUGUUGGCCUCUCUGUAGAUAUGAGUAGCCCGAUGAGAGGCACACUCAACUAAAAGAUGACGGAUGUCAUUUAAGGCUAUCCUGUAUUAUGAAAGUUAAUCUUGUAUCUUUAAACAGUUUAUCCUUAAAUUAUUAACAAAUUAUUGAUUAACGAAACUGUACAAAAAGGCUUAAUUUUUUAUUUAUAAUAACCCUAAUCAGCUAAUUUGUUAAAACUAUUAAAAAUUUGUUUAAUAAACCUUAUUUUUGUAAAACAUAUUCUACAAAAAUCUUGCUUUAGUGUUGUCUGUUUUAGGAAAACUCACGUGCAACUAACAGCCCUAAAGGUCGAAAACAUGCUAAAUAAGAAAUUUUAAUAUUGUUGGGCUUUGGAAAUUAGAAAGGGAAUUGAAACAAUACAUAGAAUUAAACAGUUUCUUAAUAUAUCCGACUCUACUUCAACAUACUUUUUAACCAAGAGAAAAAUGUGAGAUGUAAUCUAUUAGAAAAAAAUGAUUAUGAAUUAAUUAUCUUCAGAUAUUUCUAGACUAAGAUUUUACUUAGAUUAUCCAAAAUUUAAAAUCUUUAACGGCCACAAGUGUGUGUGUAUUUUAACGAUAUGUGCGUAUGUCUAUGUAGUUCAACUACUCUCAUUCUGGAAGGAUUGAGGCGAGUCCUAUUAACCUAGAAGGAGAUUAGAUCAAUUUGACCACUUUGGAUAGUUCCCAACAAGGUGUAGAAGGAGGAUCCGCCGCAUCCAAAAACCUAUCAUGAAGCAUAACUUUCAAAGGCCUUUUCAAGUUGCAUCCAUUUUCAACUUUCUAGACACCGUAAAAAAAACUUUUGCCGAGCACCACGAGUGUCCUUGUAGGCGCUAGUUUCACCUCAAUGACAUAGGAUUUGAUGACCUCUGUAGACUAGUCAAUAUAAAACUUUUAUUUUUGGGCAAUAUAUUGCUUAUGUAUACUUUUCAAAUCCGUGAAGAAUUGGUAAAGUGAGAGGAGGUAAAGUUAAUACAGGGAACUUCUAGACUAAUUUCACUCUACUGUACUUCCUUACUAUUUCCUCCUUUUGACUGAAAGGUAAAUUCAAAUCAGAUUAAUUGAAGUGAUCAUCACCAGUAUAAAUAAUGACUGUGGAUCAGUUUAUCUUCAUUGAAGAAAAGCAAAAGAUUAAGAAUCCUACUUGCAAAAUAUUUUUACUUACUUUUUUCUAUGAGAGUUCAAGUUGAAUAGAUUGAAAGAAUUGCUUUCUUUUCUUUUUGAUUAGAACAACUUAUUUCAGAACAAAAUUAGAAGGAAAAUGAUGAAAUAAAUAUAUUUGCCUUCAUCAACAUUCAUCUCACAUCUCACAUGUAGCAUGCUUGCGUAGUGCUAGUCAUACAUGAAAAAAAUUAGUGGAGCUCUAGUGGAUAGUUGUUGUGACACAUGGAUUAAACAAAUCAAAGAUAUAGUGAAUUCAUGUGAUAAUUGCUACUUAGUUACAGAAGAAAAUGGGAUACAAUGCACAACAAUCAUUGAAGUAUAUGCUCGCUGCAUCACCAUAAAAGUGGUUGGCAAGUUUGUGCGAAGAUGAUUGUUUGUCAAGCAUAUACAUGCACAUACAACCCAUGCUAUUAAAAAUACAUUAUUUUUUGGGGGAAUGAUUAUGAUGUAGCCUAAAAUCGACCCGCCUACCAUAGGCCAAUACGUUGCAUAGCAAGGGGCCAAUUUCAGUGGAACUUAUUUUCUUAGGUAGAUCUAGACAAGUAAGGUGGUUCUUUAGUUGACCUAGGACCCUGAAGAGUCAAGCCAUAAUAGGACAAGAACUCUUUAUCUAGAAAAAAGAGGCUUAGGGUACCAAGUAUGUACAUCAAAUUAUUCUACACUACUACUCUCUUUUCUCUUUUCUGUUAUUCUCCAAAAUCCUGUCUGACUAACUCCAUUGCUCUUUCUUUUUCUUGUGUACAGGUUGGCCGAGGCUCUUCAGGCCUCCACCAUCAUCGGACUGGAUUUUGGCGGCAACAGAUUAUAAAUCCAUUAUUGGGGACAGCGGACUUGGGGAUAAGAAUUUGAUGAGCUAGUUUGUCUUCUUUAUUUGUCUAUCCCCAAAAGAAAAUUUUUACAUGAUCUUAAGGUUGCAGAAUUUCUCCUAUCUUUUGGCGCUUCCAAAUACUUUGUUAGGAAUGUUCCUGUGCUCAAAGCAUCUCUAGCUAUUAACAAUCUUUAUAAUACUAGAAUAAGAAAAUUUAAAAUUAUGUUCUAGUGAUCAACUAGGUUUUUUCUAAGAAAGGGAAAAAAAGAUCCUGUUGACUGUGGACCAUUGUGGUAUCGACAGAAAACACAUCAACUAUAAGCUCAAUCUUAAUGUAGUAUAUUAUUGGAUAUGUUAUGAUACUCUAUUUCUGCUCAAAUCAGCUAUCUUUGUAACUAUGGGAUAAUACAUUCCAGAUUCUGUAACCAUUUGAUGCACCAUGUCCAAGAUCAUGAUUGUCAUAGGUAGGGUUAGAGUUAGGAUUUUUGUUUUCAUAUUCUCUUGGUUUUUUUUCCUUUUUUUUGGGGGGGGGGAGGAGGAAGGGGGGCAGCAAAAUGCAUUGUAUAAUAUUAAAGUAUGAAAAUCUUUUCUAAUAUGUUCAGUCUAAAAAGACAAAUACUUAAUUUUCAAUGGGAAAGUUUUCAUCCUUCUUUUAAGGAAAUUAAAUUAUUUAUAUUUACGUUAUCUAUUAUGUACCCUCUUAAAAUUUUCUAGAGAAACUCUUAAACUUUCAUUAUCUUAUGUGUAUAGGAGUAGUCUGAGAAUGCAUNNNNNNNNNNNNNNNNNNNNNNNNNNNNNNNNNNNNNNNNNNNNNNNNNNNNNNNNNNNNNNNNNNNNNNNNNNNNNNNNNNNNNNNNNNNNNNNNNNNNNNNNNNNNNNNNNNNNNNNNNNNNNNNNNNNNNNNNNNNNNNNNNNNNNNNNNNNNNNNNNNNNNNNNNNNNNNNNNNNNNNNNNNNNNNNNNNNNNNNNNNNNNNNNNNNNNNNNNNNNNNNNNNNNNNNNNNNNNNNNNNNNNNNNNNNNNNNNNNNNNNNNNNNNNNNNNNNNNNNNNNNNNNNNNNNNNNNNNNNNNNNNNNNNNNNNNNNNNNNNNNNNNNNNNNNNNNNNNNNNNNNNNNNNNNNNNNNNNNNNNNNNNNNNNNNNNNNNNNNNNNNNNNNNNNNNNNNNNNNNNNNNNNNNNNNNNNNNNNNNNNNNNNNNNNNNNNNNNNNNNNNNNNNNNNNNNNNNNNNNNNNNNNNNNNNNNNNNNNCCCUAGGUAAAUAAAUUUUGUACAUAAACAAGGAUCUCUAAAAACAAUAGCAAGAAUCUUAGAAAAGGAAUUCUAUAUUAAUGACUUAAUUCUAAUGAAAUAUCCAGUAACAUAUAGGUAAAUAUAUAAUUUUACAAUUUUAAUAUUAAACUAUAUAGGGCAAUAAAACUUACAUGAAGAUGAGUGUUUCUGAUGGGAAGGACCUCACAAGCACUCUCAGAUGAGUUGGAGAAGACUAAAUCUGUAGUGUCUUUUUAUAACAUACCUCACCCAUGCAGUAUCAGAGUCAGUUACGAAGACUAAGAUGAAUAUUAUCCCCACUAUAGUUUAGUAAAAUUUAACUUCAUCGCAACCACAGUAAAUCAUAUCUCAUAUGAAAAGUUUAUCUUAAAUCAGAGUCCAGAUCAAACUAAAAUAACUUAAACAAAUCCUGAUGGGUGUUAGUGUGGACCGUAUUUGGAUUGGCUCAAUCGGAUAAAUUCUAACAUUUAACUCUACAUGCACAUAUAGAGAUUGUUGUGGAGACAUUUAAUUAUUGCCAAAAUAUUAUCAACAAAACAUGGUGAGCCUUUUUUUUUUCUUUCUUUCUUCUUUUUUUUUUAGUAACAAACGGAGAGUGGAGCAAGCCAGCCCCUCUCCAGCUUCAUUCAUAAAAGAAUGGUACACCUUCUUUCAUGUGGAUCUACUAAUGGAUUGUGCAACUAUUGCUCUGAGAUUUGUGCAAGGUGAUGAAUGGAAGAGUUUGGAAUGCUUUGAGAGCUGUAUGGGGCGUGAUCCAACGAAUGACAUUGCGGAAGAGGCGAUAUCUUUUUUGGUUUAGGAAAGAUGCCAAAGUUGAGCGAAUAAAAUGGUGCUUUAAAUAAUAUGUAUGAAAAUUUAACGUCAUGUGAUUGUUAAUAUACUAUUGAAAUUAAGAAAAUAUCUUUGGAGAAAUUGGGAAAGGUAUGGUAUGAUGGCUGAAGACAUAACCAGCUACUCAUCAAGAGGCCAACCCAUAUAUCGAGUCAAUGUUAUAUGGUUUUGACUAGCUCAUCAGAUCAGGACUAUUCAAGAUUUUGGGAUAUAUUUUUGGAGAAGUUUUGGGGAAGAAAUACAGCCCCGGUUCCCUUUCUUUGUUUAAUAUAUAAAAUCGGAAAUUAUAAAGAUGCAAUGUUAUAUGGAAAGUGUGUAUUAUGUGAAAAUACUAAAUAUUACCCAUCCAAUCAGUGCGUAGGACACCAGCCUUAUGUGAUCUGCUGGAUAUACUAGAUUAGGCCUUGUUGCCAUGCUAUGAGGAGAAAUUAAAAUACAAAUGCAAGUAGUUUUCUUUCCCUAGCAGAUUUUAAAAGAGCGGCUCCAUGUCAAAUAGUGGUGAUUUUGGUGGAGCAAAUUUUAUUAUUAGAAGUGCAAAUAAUGCAUUAGAUUAUUUGAUAUUACAGUUUCAAUGGCAGAAUUGCAUGAUGCAUGAGGAGGGAUAUCAUAUACAAUUAAAAUUUUAAAGAUUUUUCAUAUUAUGAUGGUUAUUAAGUAGAUUUCUAAUACAACAUCUUCAAACCUUGGAAUCCAUUCUUUUGAAAAACAAUUAUUGGAAAAUAGGUGCAACUCUUCAGUCUUAUGAAGUAAACAUGUUUAUAUAAAAACUAAUAGUGUUGCAGACUAGAUAUGAUUGUAUGUAGCUAAUUAUGCGAGAUCUACUGUGACAGAAUUUUUUUCUGAAUUAUUAGAUUUUUUUAUUUUUUAAUACCCUGUAUUUUGUUCUAUAUUAGUUUAAUAAAUAUAAUUUAUCAAAAAAAAGAAAAAAGCUGCCCCAAGAUGCCUGUUUAGAAUUCCUAACCAAGUGUAUAGCCUUGGAAACUCUCCCCCACCCUAUCUUCCACUGCCAUACUUUUUGUUAAAAUCACCACUUAUCUUAAAAUCUUAAGUUGAUAGAAUGAGGUAAAUUUAUUUAUAUACUUUAUAUUUUCUUAUACUUUUUCUCAUAUGUGGACUAGACUUUUCUUUUAACGGGCGAGUCCAACAUAUGAAAUUUUUUAAUAAUAAGGUUAAAGAGUGCGAAGACAUGAUUCGAACUUAAAAUCUCUACUCUAAUACCAUGUUGAAAUCACCACUUAUCCUAAAAGCUUAAGUUGAUAGAAUGAGAUAAAUUUAUUUAUAUAUUUUAUAAUUUUUUUAUAUUUUUUAAUGAAAACCAUCCUCCUCUCCUCUCUUCUCUAAUCGUUGGAUAUUUUUUUCUCCUGCUUUUCUUUGCAUCCGCUUUGCAGAGAAGAAUGGGAGUAUCCCCUCCCUACGCGGUGCAAGGCGUCAGCUGCAGGCGGCCGAAUCAUUUGCAAGUGGCCGUGCACCGAAGGAACAUUCGGUGGCUUGCCACUGUUUUGCUGAAAAAACGUAGUACUGCAACAAUGGAUGACCUGUGGCAGUACUCUUUUAAAUAGUAUUGCUGUCAAGCUACUUCCCGCUCCUAUGAGUCUCAUCAUUAAUUUAUGAGUAAUCUCACAUCCACCAAUUUGAUUAUAAAAUUUAGAACAAAAGAAUGUACUGCUAUCGUACCAUAUAUUCCUGCUCUUUUAAAUAAUAGUGCAGAAUUAUGAGUUCUCAAUCACAGAUUUUUCUUCGAUAGAAUCAUGGAAGAAGCUCUUGUACUUCCUUUUAUAUAUAUAGAAAAAAUCCAUGAGCCGUAAAGUACCGUGUCGCAGGGGUGCUGAUGACCAAGACCAAUGAUGCCGAACAAUAUCCAAGUAAACGCUCAACCUGUGGAAUUUACCAGCAGGCUAUUGAAAUCCACCAACAGAAUGUUAGAAUCCAACAACAAAUACAAUAUGGAAGAAAAACUCAAUUCAUUCACUAACAACCAAAAUGUUAACAAGUCCUACUAAUCUUUAUAUAGGCAACAUGACAAGAAAAAAUUUUCAAAAUAUUUCUACAGCGAAAAAAGACCCAAAUACCCAACAAAUAAGUUCUCUCUCUCAUAAUCCAUUACCCAGCCAAAGGGUCACCGGGUAGGCUGCCCUCCUGCGUCUGCGACUAUACGCAUGCCUGAUCAAAGAUCUAGGGCUGGUGUCCGCACCAACCAAGCUUGAGAACCUACGAAGAAAGGCACGAAAUGGGUUAGAAGCAGCAAUGGUGGAUGAAGAGGGAAACAAGUAGCUACUUAAUAAAUCUAAAAUUUGUUUAGUUUGCAAGAAAAAGCGAUGCUGAGAAAGGUGAGAAACGGGCGGUUAGGGGAAGCGAUGUUGUUUGUAAUUGUCAUCGGACAUUUCAGGAUUCCCCAUUUGAUUUGCAUGGAGGUGUGGGGUUCCAGUUCCAUACCUAGCUCGCAUGCAAACGAGCACUCCACCAUGCAAGCCCCUCCCACUGAGUAGAAAACCAAGACUGGAUGUUCUUUUCUGUUGAGAAAAACAAGGCCACUCCUUGUGGAACGGCCACCAUUUUCGCUUGUUUAUGCUGCAUGGUUUGUCAAAUUAACAUUGCUUCACCCUCGCAUGCUCUCCACCAAAGAACUACGCUGAGUAAACCAAAGAUGAUCAUACUGUUGAUCAGGGUCUUCUGCAUUGUUUUAUAUAAUAUAACACCACGUCCAUGGUUGUUCCAUUGCAUGAACAUGCAUUAGAAAGAUAGUAUAGUCGAACUUGGUGUACGUACGUAUGGGACCAUCUGAUCCUAUCUUGCGGCAACGACUAGUUUAAUAGAACGUUAAAUGCAUUUUAUUUUUUCCCUUGGCACCCUGGCUCUCAACACUGAUGUUGAUGUAUUUAUCGAACGGGCCGGCUGAGAAUUAUUUAGCAUCAGAUUAGAGCUGAGGUUGGCCGAGUACUUCAUUAAAUGGACAAUGGUGGCAUGUUUGAUUUUUUUUCAAAAAAAAAAUAGUAUAUGAGUAACGCUAUCUCUUUCAGUCCCUGCGCGAGAUUACGAUCUCUUGCCUGGAUGCUAUUCUAUCUCUUAAAUGAUAUGAAGCAAAGCAACACUAAAAAAGAAUUCCCAAUCAAAGUACCUGUACCUGUGGGCAAUUUUUAAGCUAAUCAGCCAGGGUGUGGUUGGUGAUCUUGUAUGCAUGUAGAGAGGAGGCAGGUUAGGAAAAACUAAAAGGGGACAUGGAAGAGGGUGGAGAGUUGGUGGCAACGUCGUGGUCUCCAAAAGGGGAGUGAGUAGGGCAUAAAAUAAUUGUGGUGGGGGAGACAGUAGUAUUUGCACAGUUUGGUCUAGUUUUAAUGACAGGAUGAAUCUAAUAUUACCAAUGGACUGGAGAGCAAAAUUAACCUCUUUUAAAUCCCUCCAACCAGCUUGAGAUAAUUGUUUCUCAGAGUCGCCCAGUCAUCUCCGAGAGAGAGUUGUUAGAAAAUUUUGUGGAUUUCCACUUGAUAAACGUUAGAAUUUUUAAGCUCUGUUAAGCCUGGUAAGUGUUGGGCUGACGACGACCAUGUACCCUUUUUGCCACAGGUCUUGGCCUACCUAAGAUUGUUCAGGCCUUGUUUGAGUGAGCUUUCACUAGCCUUUCUCCUUUUCCACUUACUAUUUUUCUGGGUUUUUCCUACUCCACUCACCGAACAAUAUCUCGAAAGGCUAUCUCCUUGUUCAUAUGGAAAGCUAUUACCAAUCACCAAUAAGAAGAAGCCAAAAUUGUAACAACUCAUGAUCUCACCUAAAAAAACUAGCUGAAAGAUAUUUUUUGGAUUCUUUAGUCCUACAUAAGUACCUAAGAUCUCACCAGUGAAUAACUGAUAGGAAACUAAAUACAGAUUCGCACAGAUCCUCACAAACAUUUUUCUACUUUUUUUUCAAAUUAUUCUCACUAUUGUAAUUAAUCUUUUUACUCUCUGUUUGUUUUGGAUAAUUAGUCUUUUAUUCUCUUAGCUUUCGCUGCUUUUGUAGAGGUUCCUGUCUUCCAGGGGCUUUCCAUGUUUGGUUAUCCUUCAUUCCCUUACUGAAUCCUGGUAGUACUUGUCUCUUUCUUUUUUGAAAAUAAAUAAAUAAAUAAAGUUAGUUUCUAAGAGCAUUUGCAUUUCUAAAGAUGUAUAAUGUACGAUUCGCAUAAAAAUAAUGAUAAUGCUUGGCUUAGGUCAUCAGUAAGGGAAGGAGGAUUUCAGAUAGAAAUUUUAUACAUGGUUGAGUAGAUUUAUAAGCAGGGCGUAGAUUGUAUGGUUGUAAAGUUCUACAUUUCUAUUUCUAUAGUUGGUUUAGCAACCACAUACAAAUUCAUGGUAGGAGGAANNNNNNNNNNNNNNNNNNNNNNNNNNNNNNNNNNNNNNNNNNNNNNNNNNNNNNNNNNNNNNNNNNNNNNNNNNNNNNNNNNNNNNNNNNNNNNNNNNNNNNNNNNNNNNNNNNNNNNNNNNNNNNNNNNNNNNNNNNNNNNNNNNNNNNNNNNNNNNNNNNNNNNNNNNNNNNNNNNNNNNNNNNNNNNNNNNNNNNNNNNNNNNNNNNNNNNNNNNNNNNNNNNNNNNNNNNNNNNNNNNNNNNNNNNNNNNNNNNNNNNNNNNNNNNNNUAAGUAAUUUAUGAGAACUAUGCGGGAAUAUGCUUAGCCCCACAACAAUUAUGCAUUGAGAAAAUCAUGGAUGCUAGACCAAAAAAUUCAAAUAAUAAUUCCUGACUAGCUUUUCUCGGUCCACUAUAUUGUUGCCAAUGGUAUCAAAUCCAUCUUGGCCCAUGGCUCAUAUGAACUAGAAAAUAUUGUAAUAUAAACCCUUUGGGCCUAACCAAGAGCAAAUUAUAAUAUUUUGGUUGGAAUUGAACUUUUAAUCUGGCAAAGAUGUCAAGUGUUGAACGGUGAGAAUAUAUAUGUGAGGACUGAUGCAUGAGGCAUGCAUGUAGUCCACAUCGAUCAUAUGCUAAGAAGAUAUUUGAUACUUAUACAAGAUCAAAAAAUAUAAAUAAUAAUUUAUGGUUAGUCUUCUUGGCUGCAAUUAGAUGAUUCUUCCACUGUUACUAAAAAUAUAUGAAGAAAUAAAGAUAUGAUCAUUCUUUUGCAUAGCCUUAAGCAUAGACAAAAAUAGAAGAGAACUCAUAAAAUUUAUUAAUUCAAUUUUUUAUGCAUAGGAAAAGAGUACAUAUGUAUUUGUAGUCCAAAGAAUUUGAUGCGGACUAGAACAUGAGAUGAAAGAAAAACCUGAUCACAAAAUAGACUCAUAUGUUAAUUAUAGACUUCUAAUGAUUUGAGUUAAGUGAGAAGGUAACUACUAACUAAGCUAUCAAGUAACUCAUUCUUGUUUGUGACACAUCAUGUUUGGUUGAUCUCAAACAUAAAGUUAUUGCAAGAGAAUCAUACGAAAAAUAUUUUGACUCUAAUCCAAUUUCAACUUACUAAUAUCAUAAUUAAAUGAAGCCCUCGACCAAAGUCAAUCAAGCUUAGCUCAAUCACACAUCAAAAGGAUAAUAGCACACUCAUAGCUCAUUUCCCAUGAAAACGAGCAGCUCUACCACAUCACUAACAAAACUGCCCUCUUUCAACUAAUUCUAUCUUAAAAUUUUUGAGGGAUGCUAAACAUACUCAAAUUGUGUAGACGAAAAGUGCUUGGCGUGCGCAAUGGUAAUGACACCAAACAUCUUGUAAUUAAUGUAAAAGUUUGUAAUAUGAUGAAAAUUUUGAAAAACUAUUUUGGUGAUUUCCAGCAAAUAAAGCUUCCCCAUACUACUUUUAUCUCGAUAUAAAGAAUGUAAUUUUCGACCAAAAAAAAAGCCAUACAUUAUUUUGUCAAAAGCUUUUAGAUAUUUUUCUCAUUUAUUCAACAUAUUAAGGUCCAAGAUUGUAAGAGUUUAGAUAGGCCUAAAAAUGAAGAUACAAUAGGCAAAAAUUAUUGAAUGAUGAUCUGAGCAAGAAAGUUAAGAUGUCGAAAAAAAUUUUCUUAACGUCUGAAUAUUUUCUUAAAAAAAUAUAAUUUUUAUGCUAGCUUAUUUGGGAUUUCCAAGACAUACAUUUUUAUUAUUUUCUUCUCCAUACUUUUGAGGAUUAUUUUUCAUAUACGUGCCCCGAUGAUUGAACGUCUAAUGGAGGAAACUUGGAAGUCUUUUUAUUAUAUAUAAUAGGAGAAAAUAAAAUAAUAUAAAAGUAAUCUAUGAUUUUGUUUACUAAAUCAAAAUUCACUUUUUUUCACCUCAAACAAGUUAAUAUUUAUAUUUAAAAUGUAUUUUAUUUGGAUGAAUUAAAAAAUGUCAAGUUAAUCUUGAUGAUAGUUAUAACAGAAAUCUAUUUUCAGCUGAUACAAAAAUUUAAAUAACUUUAUACUUUAUAAUAUAUAAUAAUAUAUAAUUUUUAUUUAUUUAUUAUAAUUAUAAAUAAAUAAUAUAAUUUUAUAGAAUAAAAGCAAGCAUUGAAAGACGCGCACCUCGAGCAGAGCCCUAAGGGAGGACAAGGUUGGGGAAAGAUUUGACCAGCUGAGCUAAGAGCGGUGAGCCUUCAAUGGACCGCCCCUUCUCGUAUGGAAAGAAUAAACUGUCCAAAAAACUAUUUUAUUUAAUUAAAGAAUGCAAAAGCUAAGUAAUUAUCGUUAUUUUCGUUAUAUACGGCAUUAUAUUAAAAUAAUAUCAUAAAAAUUUUAAUAAAAAGUAUAAUUUAUUUAACCAUCAGGGCACGUGGAGGUGUUAUAUACGUUUGAUUUUUUUUUUUGCUAAAACAGAUGUAUCAUAUAGUAUGGAUACGAUUACAUUCAAAAAAAAUUGAAAAAUAAUAAUUUUCAAAGUGCACCAAAUAACUAUAUUUCACCUAUCUAAAAAGUAUCUCCGAAGUGAUUGGCUAGAUGAGAGACUAUCUAAUUUGCAGUUUUGUUGGUCUUUCUAAAUAAUGCUUUCUUACAUAGCCAGUAUAUUUUUAAACAGUGAUUGGAGGUGACAUUUAGAUUAUCUUCCAUCUAUUCUUCCUCCCACAACUUGGAUUCUGAUUUUUUUUUUUUUUUUGCUUAAACGGACUAUUCAUAUUACUCGGAUACGAACAUAUUUAAUAAAUUAAAAAUAAAAUAUUCCAAAGUGUCAUAAGCAACUCACUCUCAAUCAUCCAUGGUAUGCCACUAUGCCUUUCGUGUGAUUGGCCACAUAAGCCGCAACCCAGUUUGCAAUAUUGUUUGUCUUAUGCCUGGCCUGGAUGGCUGAUGUAAUUAUUACUUAUCAGGCUCCAAGAUGUAUCCGGACUUCGACUGCGAACGCAGCUAUUUCUAGUUGCAUUCCGUGUACCGUGUCCGCAUGAUAGUUACGAGCUUCAAACCUCGGCGAUCCGUUGGAUUUGUUAAUAUCCACGUGUCGUGCAUCAAUGAACCGCGAAAGCAGGCAUUAUUGAGCUAAUCCGAGGAGCCGUCUCUCUUUCUCUAUAAAAGCCCUCGGUCUCUCCGAAAUCAAAGAAAAAGAAGAGAAAAAGGAAAAAAAAAAUCUGCUCCUUAAUUGAAGUAAAAAUCCAUGGCGACGCGAUCUCGAUUCCUCGCAGGAGUCCUCGUGCUCUUCUUGAUAGAAGCCGCGAGCACUUGGUCCUCCUCGGAAACCCUAAAUUAUCUGUCCUCCGAGACGAUCUUGGUGAGAAACCCUCCCCAAACACCAUCAUAGAUUUGAUUUUUUUGUUGAAGUCUCCGGGCGGCGGCAGAGGAGGGGAGGAGGCCGGAUGCUAGGGUUUUGCCGGUUUUGCCUCCAUUUCAGCUUGCCGGGCCUAUGGAACUUUGGAUUCAAGAGGGGGAGGAUGUGAGGCUGGCCUUGCCGGUUAGUAGUUCUCCAUAAUAAACGUUUUUCGUGCCAAUUGGGUUUUCAAGUUGUAAUUUUGCAAAGAUUUUGGAAAUAAUUGGUCCCCUUUCUACUUGCAAUUUUAAAAUUUGGGAUUUUUCAACCCUAUGUGUCUGAACAUUUUUAUGCUGGAUUGAAUUGUGUAGGAAAGCUUAGUUUUUUUUUUCCUCUAUACUCAGGAUUUAGCAGAUUAGGAUGCCAGGAUGUCGAUAUUUUCUGAUUUUUUUUUGAGUAUAGGAUCAUCUAAAUUUGAAUAAUCAGAUAAAACAUUGUAAUUACGAUCAAAAAAUCAGUUCUUGGGCAUCAAUCUUGGGUUCAUCUAGCAAAGUGGUGUUUGAUUUGUAUCUCUUUGUUACUUAACUUUCUAGUUGUUAUUACCAACAUGAUUUAGAACUUCUAAAAUUCCGGUGAAAAACAUUAUAAUCCAUGAACAGUGUAUAUUUUUCUCCUGACUGUUUUUAAUUGGAAAUUUCUGGCCUAUAUUAUCCAUAUAGAAUAUUUAAACAUAUUUUAUAGUUUGUAUUUUGGUAUGUUGCAAUGAUAUUUGGAGAGAUAAGGCAACUCUAAUUUGCCGCAGUGUGGUGGCCCAUAAUAGGGUUAUAUUAAUUGAAGAGACUACUAUAUUUUAUUGGAGAGCGUCAAUUGAGUGAUUUCUAUUUAGUACCUGAGUAUUUCUUUUGAUAUUUACAAAACUACUAGGCCAGAGUUCAUAAUAGUGUAGCCUGGGAUUUUAGUUUCCUAGGUUUCAUUUGCAUGUUUGAAAUAUUGAACAAUUCAGCAUUAUAACAUAAAAAAGUAGCCUUCACUCCUAGUAUUUGGGAUGUCAUCAAGUCAUAACAGGAGAAAGACAAAAUGUCUGGAAUUUGUUAGAGUUUAGGAUUUCAUCAUUUUUGUGUAACAAGACUAUUCCUUGCAAUCAUGAUCAUGUUCAAAUCGUGGGCAUCAAACUUGAUCAUUUUCUGCUAGUGAUGUUUGCAAUUGAGUUGUCUAUCAAUUUUACAUCUUUUUUGGAUUUAGGUUUAAUUUGUUUGUUUAAAGGGCCAAUAAGCUAUGGAAUUUCUCAUAAUUCCAUCUAAGAAAUACUGCAACAUAAUCCACAUGGCGUCCAUAAAAUAUUUUAAGUUGGAAGUUUGUUAACCUACACUGCCUGACCUGAAGGUUAAAAGAGAAAAGUCGUACAGUCCUCAAUCCUUUAGGACUCCUUUGGUUCUCGAGAAAAGGAGCAUGGAAAGUAUAGUCAACGGAAAAAUGGAGAAAUGCCUCAUAUUUUGUUGGAGUUUUCAAAAGAAAGAGACAGGGGUGUAGCUUUUUCAUGGGAAUAAAAUUUCUAUAUUUUAUGGAAAAGAAAAACCUUUGUUAGAUAUGGGAAAAGUCACUCUCCCACUGGUUGAAAAUUGGGAUAAUUUUUUUUAUCAAAAAUGCCUUAAAGCUUUUAGAUAGAAUGGGGCACGGUUUUUUUCUUUAUUAACGGCAUAACAAGUAUUUUACAUAACUUUCGCAGUGCUCAACCAAACAUAAGCUACUCUAAAAUGUUCCACUUUCCUAUGGUCAACUAAAUAUGUAAAAAUCACCUUUUCAAGCAUCAUAUAUCCAGAUAUUAGCCUCCUAGGAAAAAUAUUCUAUUGAGGAAAUAUUCUUCCCACGAUCAAAUGAGUUUUUAGUAUUUUUCAAGAUUUCGAUAGGUUUUGGAGAGAACCAGGGCAACUCUAUUAGCAUCAAUCACAACUGCACCUAAGUCAUAGACACUAUUGCGUAGUCUUGAAUAAUGAUAUAUUGUGUAUGCAUGCAUUUAGAUUUAGUGACUUCCUCUAAGUAUCCAUUGCCUGAUAAUUGCAUUUGCUAUUAUUAUGUCUCUGCAGCAUGAUGUCGAAGCAGGUGUGCUGAAGAAGAUUAUCUUAGCAGAUGGUGCAGUUGUGACAGUGAAGGGUGCCAAGUCCAUUAGUAUAGGGCAUCCACUGGACCUCCCUCUUCCCCUCAACCGCACCCACCAAAAGGGUUGUUCCACGUUCAUUCGCUCUCUUGACCAUUGCUGAAGCCCUCCGCGAUGCCUCACGAUCAAACCAAAAACCCCUCCUCUCCAUCCUGAUUGUUGGCCCCACCUCUCUCACGUCAUCUCCUUCGAAGUCCCCAGAGGACAAGCUCAAGCUGAGGUAUCUUGCCCCAUGGCUGGCCGAACUCUCCUUCGUUCCCUCCGAGCCAUCUCUGAAGAUGUUGAAGGUUCUGACAGUACUCCCUUGUGGCCUCUGACAUCACUCAAUGGAUCCGACUUUAACCUUCAAGGACUGGAGAAGCUAUUGGCCUCUGUGCUUGGAACGAAGGGAUCCGAAGAAGGAUCAUUCAGACUUCUUAAGGCAUAGGUGUUGGCACAAACCUAUGUGAAGAUGGGAUCUGCUGUGGAGAAGAGGCUUCGUGAUGGAGAGGUGGAUUAGUCAGGGUUUCCAGAAGUGGCUUCCUGAGAAGGCUGCAGUUCGUUUUGAGGUGGUGGGAAGGAUUGAUCCCAGAGAGGACUGCAGAGGUCCAGCCCUUUGAGACUCGGGAGGUCAGAGUUUACAGCUUGAAAAACGAGAACAUAUCCAUGACUCAAAUGCCAAUUAUUCAUCCACCACCCAUUUAUUUCACUCUUUGAUCUCGUUCGUUUAGUUGGACUAACUUGGAUUUAAAAGACAUAGAAAGUGUACAAAUCUAGAGGUGGUGGAAAGUCUUUUAUCUUGUGUCUCUAACCAAAAUAUUGGUUGAUCUAUAUAUACCAAAUCUUUGGUGGAGAAUGUCAGAAGAGCAAGAGAUUUGUCAAAAACUUCUGAGUCAUCAUUCUGCACGUUGUAAUGAUGUAAAUUUUGAAUGGACGGUUGGACUUCAUGUGCAUAAAUUUUGUGAACAGGAAUUGGCAUGAAAAUCGCACGAAAUCAGAGGAAAAUGGUCGGUGUUUGUUCGCCUGUAGUUUUUGGAACAAGUUCUAGCAGGCCAUGCUGGAGCCUUCAUUGAGAUCAUGGUGCUUGAGAUCGAUACUGGGCCGUGGUUGGUGUCCGGCGCUAAAGCACUAUGAUGCUGUUGGGCAUUAUUUUAAUCUCUCUGUCCAAUUUUUGAAUUUUUAAAAUUUUUAAAAUAUAAAUAUAUUUUGGUACUGUCGAUUAUUUUAAAGAUAUAAAUAUGGUGAUAACGGUGAAGAUGAUGGUAGCAGCCACUAGUAAAGUGUCUGUGUAUUGUUGGCAGGAGCAGCUGCAAUACGGUGAGUUAUGAUAGUGGUGGUGGUGGUGGUGGGGGUAUCAGCAAUAUGGCAACUGCGACUAAGAUAGCAACGGUAGCAGCAAUGAUGUUGUCUAGGUUAUCGGCGGCUUAAUGAUAAUGACAAUAUUGGUAUUUUUGCUGCAAAGUAGAAGGGUUAUUGUCGAUAAUACAUAAGUGGCGAUAAUGGUUGGAUUAGUUGCGGUAGAGAUGAUAAUUGCAAUGGAUGCGCAGGUGUUGGUGGUAUUAAUUAUGGUGACAAAAAAUAUGAGUUUUUUUGACUUGUAAUAUUUUUUUUAUUUUUUAUUUUUCUAAAUGCAAUGAAAAUAAUUUUGAAAAUAGAAAAUAACAAUAUUAACUUCAAAUAUAUUUUUAAUCCCAAUUUUUAUGAUUUUAUUUUUUAAAAACAAAAAGAAAUAGUUUUAAACAUUAAAAAAAGAAAGAAAUAAACAGAUAUCCAACGGAGUUUGUAUGCUUUUGACCGCUGAAAUUUAAGCCUGCAAGUCGCUUGGCAGAGAAGUUUAGUUCUCAUGGUUAAGAUGUACCAUCAUUGCUACUGAAGUGGUAGUUCAGUGGAACGGAGUUUUACUUCCAACCAAGUGGUUUCGAGUUCGAAACGUACGAGCGUCGAUGGGAGGCCCAACACACAGUCAUUUUUGUCCGCAUCUAAUAUUCUUCUGGCGGAAUGGGGGCUGCUACGUACGUGGGGUGGGCUUGUCCCCUCCUACCCCCUUCUUUUUUCUUUCAGGCAAAAAAUAAAAAAUAAAAAAAUAAAACCUCCUCCCCCCUUCCUUUUUCUUUCAGGCAAAAAAUAAAAAAAUAAAAAUAAAUGUACCAUCGUCCCUUCGGACGUAAAAUGGAUGCUUUUCACUAAGAUAAAUUCAUAAUUAUGUAUUUACUUUUGGGUGUUCGGGAUCAAAACCUACUCUGUCCAUCACAUUGAAAGCUCGACAUGAGAGCGUUUUAUGGGCAAGAAUUCACACAAGAAAUAUUGUAGCCACUUUCCGUAAUAGAGGAAGAAAAGAAACCACAUUGCGGACUUAAGAUUUCCAUCGCCUUGCCAAAGAACACCCAUCCGCACUAGUAUAUUAGCUUUUCACAUAACAGAGAUGCUUUAGAAGGUUAUUUGAGUUCAAUUUGGCUAAAUAUCCAGCCAAAUUUUAUUUCCGUAAUCCUUCUACGUACAUUUAUUUAUUAAAUGGUGUCCACAUUCUUAAUCUCGGCAAACUAUUCCCAGUCCUAAUUCCUCAUGGGAAGCUUCAUGAGAAUCAGGCCAGCCCAAAUUAGCCCAGGUCACAAGACAUUUGGCCCAAGAUCAGCCUAGCCCCUACUUAACCCGAGCUCGGCCCAAUAAAUGAGCUUUGAUGAAAUCAGGCCAGCCCAAGUUAGUAACAAAUCGAAAUUCAAAAAAUAUUUCUCCGUCCCCCCUCUACAGUCAUAAUUAUUAUUCCAGAUCUAUAUCGAUAAUUUGUAUACAAUCCUUAAUUAGAAGAAUGACUCCUUGACUCACUAGUUAGCAUCAAAUUUUUGCUAUAUUUCUGUAAUAUGUAUGUCAAAUAUAUGUAUACAUGCCAAACAAGUAUUGGGCCGGGAUGGAUUGGGUUACUGGGCUGCCAAGACCAGCCCAUUCUGUAAACAUAUUGGUCCAACCUUCUUCUAAUACGGGCUAGGUCGAGUGAAGCCUAGCUCUUCUUUUUUUUGACAUGCAUCAAAUAGACUAGGAUCAUCUAAUCUCCUAACCAGAACUUUUGCAAGAACUAAUAUCUGGAGGGAGAGAGAGAGAGAGAGAGGAGGAGGAGAGAGAGAGAGAGAGAGAGAGAGAGAGGUAGGUAGUAGUANNNNNNNNNNNNNNNNNNNNGAGAGAGAGAGAGAGAGAGAGAGCAGGUGGAUGAUGUUUUAUCUCAGAUGGAACUGCUGAGGAAAUGGUCAGUGUGCAGUGCACCGCAGUGUUAACUUACAAGUUUUUUUGAGGUUUGUAAAGCUAAUAUUUCAGCUUUAUCUGCUAUCUCAGGAGAUUCAAUGCCAACGUAAAACUGACAUUUUUGUUGGUAGGUUCAAAAACAAGGCUGAAAAAAGCUUGGACUAAGAUAUCCUAAAAUAAUGGCCUGAUACAAUGACCAAGAUAUGAACACAUCUUGAGAUAUAUUGACAUCAUGUGGUAAUACAUUCACAUUAUCUCCAGCAAAUAAAACCAAUAUCGUGUGUUACCGCAAUGUAGUAUUCUGAAGGCAUCAGCCAUUAAACCUAAGGCCCUAUUUGGGAUUGCUAUUGGCAGCAGAGCUUUUAGAAGUAGAGAUUUCGGAAAGUAGAGCUUUUGUAAGUAGAGUUUCAAUUAACAGCUAUUUACUCUUUGGUAACUAUAUUUUUAAAAUAUUGUGAAACUUUAAUAUAAGUUUGGUAACCAAAAUAAUAAAGUACUUUUGGUAUGAUACAAUGAUAAUAAAGUAUAUUGCAUAGUAUUUUAUAGUAGAGUAUAAUACAAUAUAAUAUUAGAUAUCAUUAUAUAUUAAAAUAUUAUUAUUUUGUAUAAUAUUAUUAUAAUAUAGUGUAAUAUAAUAUUGAAUACUAUAGCAUAAUAAUAUGACAUAAUAUGAUAUAAUAUAAUAUAGUAGUGUAUUAUUAAUAGAACAAUAUUACUAUAAUGUAACAUAAUCUUAUUAUAAUGAUAACAUAAUAUAUAAUAUAAUAUAAUAUAAUAUCUACAUAUAUAUAUAUAUAUAUAUAUUGUUAGUAUUAUUACUAUUAUUAGUAUUAUUAUUAAUAGUACAAUAUUACUACAAUGUAAUAUAAUAUUAUUUUAAUUAUAACAUAAUAUAUAAUAUAAUAUUAUAACAUUAUACUAUAUUAUAGCAAUAUAAUAUAAUAUAAUAUAACGGAUUAGAAUAUAUUGAGUUGUAGGAAUUGGCAUUUUGGUCAUCAAUUUUUUUUUAUUAAAAUUAAAACAGCUUUUCGACCUUAGUGAGAAAGCACUUUUGGAAAAAAGCUCCAAAAUAGAGCUUUUCUUAAGUAAAUCUUUUCAGCUUUCUGGUAAAGCCAAUAUAGUUUUCUGUUUUUUUAUUAAACACCACUAUAUUAUCCAAAGGUACUUUUAGAAGGGCAAAAAAAAUGUUUUUUAGUCCUCCAAAAACUUUACCAAAUGGGGCCCAAGAAUACUUGGGUUGGCAUCCGGUCAGGCCACCGGACAAGCACUACACCAUUGGAGAUAGAAACCUGGUUCCCUUUUUAAUAAUUUACAAACACACAGACAGUAAUUUAACUACCUAGGUGCACCCAAUCCAUUUGAUAAGAAAACCCUAGCAGCACGCAUUUCAAUCCUCUACCAUUUGCAAGCAAAUAAAGUCAAUUUAAUUGUUGAAUAAAAUAACUUUAAAGUAGAGAGAAUCUCUCUUCCAAUUUCGAUGCAGUCACAUGUUGCUUUCCCUGAACCCAAUAGCCGGUAUAUUAAACGAAGCCUCUUUACCCACAAGAUUCUAUUGUGGCGUAUGAAAGUCCCGUGAUGGCUGCCUGCUUAGCCUUUUUUCUGGCCUACUUUUAGUAACGAUAUUCUCUGAAUUCUCCAAAAUUUGAAUGGUUGUUGGCGAUUGUAGAUACAAGAGAUAAUGGAUGAUCCUUUAAUCACCAUUCUUUUAGUAACAUAUAUAUAUAUAUAUAUAUAUAUAUAUAUAUAUAUANNNNNNNNNNNNNNNNNNNNNNNNNNNNNNNNNNNNNNNNNNNNNNNNNNNNNNNNNNNNNNNNNNNNNNNNNNNNNNNNNNNNNNNNNNNNNNNNNNNNNNNNNNNNNNNNNNNNNNNNNNNNNNNNNNNNNNNNNNNNNNNNNNNNNNNNNNNNNNNNNNNNNNNNNNNNNNNNNNNNNNNNNNNNNNNNNNNNNNNNNNNNNNNNNNNNNNNNNNNNNNNNNNNNNNNNNNNNNNNNNNNNNNNNNNNNNNNNNNNNNNNNNNNNNNNNNNNNNNNNNNNNNNNNNNNNNNNNNNNNNNNNNNNNNNNNNNNNNNNNNNNNNNNNNNNNNNNNNNNNNNNNNNNNNNNNNNNNNNNNNNNNNNNNNNNNNNNNNNNNNNNNNNNNNNNNNNNNNNNNNNNNNNNNNNNNNNNNNNNNNNNNNNNNNNNNNNNNNNNNNNNNNNNNNNNNNNNNNNNNNNNNNNNNNNNNNNNNNNNNNNNNNNNNNNNNNNNNNNNNNNNNNNNNNNNNNNNNNNNNNNNNNNNNNNNNNNNNNNNNNNNNNNNNNNNNNNNNNNNNNNNNNNNNNNNNNNNNNNNNNNNNNNNNNNNNNNNNNNNNNNNNNNNNNNNNNNNNNNNAUAACGUAUGUCCCUCGCAUCCAUCCUGAGGACACGGACUGGUCUUAGAGAGAUUUAGUUUUUCCCCACUUUUUUUUUUAAUUCUGUAACUAAUUGGGCUCUUCUAUACUCUUUUAUAUUAAAAAAUGGCAUAAUUAACAUAAUUGAUCUUGUAUGCUAUAUUUUUGUUCAAACUUUUUUACAUACGUUUUGUAUUUGAAAAUAAGAUCCUGAAAUUGUCGCUCCCCUGGCGAGUUGUCAGUGGAUGCCAGAACUGGUGACUGGGCUUCGUUUUAAAAUGGCUUCUGCCGACACUGCUGAAUACGACGGGAAUGAGGAAGUGGGGUCGUCCGGGUCAUUCUCUCCAUGGAUGAGGAAGCUGGGCUCGUUGGUCCCCGGGGACCCACACUGUAAUAUUGGUGGCGCUAAUGAGCAUGAAAACUUAAGGAAAAAUACGUUUCUAUUUUUUUGGUACUUUGCUUGAAUUUUACCUUGUCCAUGGAUCACCAUGGGGACUCAAUGAGGCGGGUGGAGUGGAACGGAGGGAUGGAUUAGCAUAAUGUGACCCAAUCUGCCAAUCUGAUCCGUGUUCCGUUGAAAUCACCACUUGUCCUAAAAGCUUAAGCUUAUAGAAUGAGAUAGAUUUAUUUAUAUAUUUUAUAUUUUCUUAUACUCUUCCUCACAUGUGGGCCAGACUUUUCUUCAUAAGCUCAACAUGUGAAAUUUUUAAUAAUGAGAUUAAAGAGUGUGGAGACAGAGUUCGAAUUAAGGACCUCUGCUCUGGUACCAUAUUAACAUCGCCAUUUAUCCUAGAAGAUUAAGCUUAUAGGAUGAAGUAGACUUAUUUAUAUAUUUUAUAUUUUUUUACAUGUUCAACCUACAAUAAGUAGACUGAAAUUUUGGCCAAUCAAAUUUGGAUCAUAAAUAGGCCUAUCUGUUUAAACUAUUUAAUAAUAGAAUUGGAUUCAAGUUCGAGCUCUUUGACCCGUUUAACCUAUUUAACCUAUUUAAUAAUCGGAUAGGAUCGAGUUAAGAAGGUUAAACAAGUUAAUAAGUUAAUAGGUUGUAUAGAUUAUACUUGUUAGCAUGUUGACAGAUUAAGCAAGUUAUCUAUUUAUUAAAUAGGUUAAGCAAGUUGGGUCGAAUUACCUAUUUAUUAAAUAUGGUAGAUUUAUAUUUUAAAUUCUGGCUUAUUUGAUAAAUAGGUCAUGUGCAUGUUUGAAAUUUUUUAAUCUGAUCUAAGUCAAUUGCCGCCCCUAAAUAUAUAAAUUAAAGCUCGCAUGAUAAUGAUGCGAGUCUCUUACUAAAAGCAGGCUUUACUUUAGAUUCAAGGAUAUGGACUGAAUGGCCAAUAUGGGAUAUAACCAUGUGGACUGAUUUGAGAGUUUUUAAAGUAGAAGGGGACCAAGUGAAACUUGAGCAAAAUACAGAAUAUGAAACUAUAUUUCUCGCUCAACAGACCAAAUGAGGUGGACUUACAAUCCUGGACUCAUAGUCCAAAAUCUAAGCUGUUGGGAGGAGAAUUAGCUCGAAUUAAUAAACUUCAUUCCUUUUAUUAAUCAACGUGGGAUUAUAACAAUUUUUCUCACCCAAUUUUAUGAUGCUCUCGUCAUGGUUGAAUCCUAGUCGGCCCUAUUAGAUUCUUUAUGACCAUCGUCUCCCUCGGUAAAACAAAAAAAAGAUCAAUAAAAAUUAUGCUAUACAAUAGAUCUGGAUUUGCCACCAUUAAUUACAGACCAACGACCUAAAAGCUUAAACUGUUGGGCUGCGAGUUCACGAGAGGCAGUCACAUUCCUACUUCUAUUGUUUGUGUGCAUGCUAGCUUUUCUGUAUGUGAGGAAGAGGGCUCUUUUCUAUUGCGCAUGUGAGAGAGAGGACGAACACCUUCUUAGGGAUCCUUUUCUUCAAUGGCCAAAUUUGACCACCCAUCUGCACGAAUUAUGGCUUCCUCACCGGUACUACUCUUUUUCACCAGCCACCUGCAUUUCCACUGCUUACUUAGCUAUAUAUUACACCAAAACAAAGAUCAAGAUAAUGACAAAAGUUAGUAAGAUAUCCCAAUGAAUCAGAAGAAAACAUAGUUAGACAUUUAAUUGUAUGAUAGCCCAUUGAAGGGUCGUACCUUUCUCUUUUUCCAUAAAAAUAUUUUAUGUAGCUUUGCAACUAGCAUGUAGAAAAUUCAUUACCAUCACAACAAAAUUCCGCCAUAUCCUAUGUUGGCCAAACUCAACUCAAAAUAAGCUUUAAUCUCAAACUAGUUAGAGUCAUUAAUAUGUAUGAGUAAGUUUUCUAAAUUCCAUUCUAUUUAGAGCCGUACUUUCUAAAAAAUGUAGAAAUAUUAAGUCCUUUUUUACUAUUUCAUCCCAUAUAACUUUCGGUCUAUCUCUGCUUCUUCUUUUUUUCCCUUAUAUCUAUUAAAUCUUUUCUUCGUGUUAGUGCACCACUCAGCCAACAUUUUACGUGUCCAAAUCAUUUAAGUCGACCUUUUAAUAUGUCCUCAAUUAGCACUAUCUCUACCUUUUUAUGAAUGACUUCAUUUUUAUUCUAUCUUUUCUUGAAUUACCACACAUUUAUAUCAAUAUUUUUAUUUUGCCUAUAUUUAUAUUGUGCACGUAUAGGUACACCAAUAGUUGUAUGAGAGGCCGACUUCAAAAAGGAUACAAGCUAGCAAUAGAAUAUUGGACCUUGCAACAAUGCAUAUGCAUGGCACAACUUUUAGGUAUAGCCAACCU